AAGUUCAAAUCCUUCUAUUGCUGCAAAUUCUUCAACUGUCUCUGCUAUCACUAAUUCCUCAUCUAAGGAUGCUUCUAGUAUCACUGACCAUGCAGGGCUGAAGGAAUUGUAUGUGACAGGCAUGUACAAAAGCCUCACAGGGCAUCAGGCUCUUUGUGAUGUGCUUAAAAAGCAGAUCCUCAACAGGAACCCUAGGAAAGAGGGUAGUGCCUUUGAGAGGAAACUCAAUGCUGAUGGGACCUACUGGAAACCUGACCAGUAUCCCAAAACCUCAUGGGUUUCUACAAAGGGACCUCCCGUAGAUCCGUCUACUUUAUCUGGCUUUACAUGUGAAUCUUCAUAUUCUUCUGAUGAGUCAUUUGACUCCAACUAUAAAUUGUUCAAAAAUCAGAAUGGUGAAGUAUUUGCUAGAUAUGUUGGCACUAACUGCAGGAACGGUCCCCCUAUGAAGAAAAUCUGGGUUCCCAAUAGGUGCCUUGAAAGUCUUUAGGUGAAUGUCAUCAUGACACCACCUGUGACGACAAGGAACCCCAUAUCAAAUUCUUCAUAUGGACCAAAGUCCUCAUGUGGACCAAAUUCCUCACAUGGAUCAAAUUCCUCAUAUGGAUCAAAGUCCUCAUAUGAACAUCAUCAUGCUAACACUUAUAUUUCGCAGGGAAAGCCUAAGGGCAAUGAAUAUGUGCAUUAUUCUUCAAAUCAUUAUAUUAAUAAGUCCUGAAAGAAUUUCUCUGCUUAUUCAUAUGCUUACCUUAACCCCUGUUAUGUGAAACAAAGUGGACUAGCUUCUAUGCCACCUUUCUCAUAUGGAGCUCGCAGAAUGAUGAACUCUUUGCCACCCCUCCAGAUGUGGGUGAUGAAGCAAAAUAAACUAAUCUCUUAUGCAGGGUCAGGUCUCCAGACGAACUUAAUUGUCUUAAAAAUUUGCUAGAGACCUGAAUAUGCUUGAAAGGACGCAAGCUAAUCAUGAAGAAAUGAAUUCUCAUUUCUCACGUCCUCAUACUUCUAUAUCUGUUCUAUUGCUUGAUGAAAUUGAUCUGAUGAAUUUGAUGUCAUAUUCUUCACUGAUGAAGUGUAUGACUUCGUAAGAUGCGCUAAUUCAUCUGCAGGAUGAUCAACCCAAAGCCACUAAGUGGGCCCUCGACAGUGGAUGUACAAAUCACAUGACUGGUGAUAGGAACUUAUUGAUGGACACUACUUUAUCUCCAUCGCAUCUGAAGCAUAUCACAUAUACACUGACAAAGGCAAAAGCAAGGUAUUGGGUCUAGGUAAGGUUGCGAUCUCAAAGUAUCAACACAUGGACAAAGUCAUGCUUGUCGAGUCCUUAGGAUUCAACCUCAUGUCAGUCUCAAUGCUUUGUGAUCUUGAUAUGGUUGUUAUAUUUGGCAAGUAUCAUUGUGUUGUGAUCAUGGAAGCUGACCAUUCCAAAGUCUUCAAAGGCUUUAGGAGAGGAGAUCUGUAUAUUGUUGAUUUCUCUACAUGACCACAACCUGCUAUGUGCCUACUUGCAAAAGCUUCAGAAGGCUGGCUAUGGCAUCGACGACUUGGUCAUGCUGGCAUGAGGAACUUGCACACGCUCGCGAAGAAGAAGCAUGUCAUUGGCAUCGAGAAUAUCAAAUUCCUCAAGGAUCACCUGUGCGGAGCUUGUGAAGCUGGAAAGAUGACCAAGGCCAAGCAUCCCUCAAAGACCAUCAUGACUACCACUGCUCCAUUUAAAUUGCUUCACAUGGAUCUCUUUGGUCCUAAUCAUUAUUCUGCAUUCGAUAAUGAAUCAUCUCUAUAUGGCUUUGUUAUUGUUGAUGACUAUUCUCGUUAUACAUGGGUGCAUAUCGUCACUUACAAACGUGAAGUGCAGGAAGUUUUCAAAAGAUUUUCCUCAAGGGCUUCAACCAACUUUGGUGUGAAGAUCAAGCACAUCAGAAGUGACAAUGGGACCAAGUUCAAGAAUACUGGUCUUGAUGACUAUCUUGAUGAAUUUGGUAUUACUCAUGAUUUAUCUGCUCCUUAUACUCCUCAGCAGAAUGGCGUUGUGGAGCGCAAGAAUAGGACUCUUGUUGAGAUGGCUCGCACUAUGCUUGAUGAAUACAAGACGCCUCGUCACUUUUGGCCUAAGGCAAUUGAUACUACGUGCAACAUCAUAUGAACUCCUCACUGACAAGAAACCCAAUGUGAGUUAGUUCAAAGUCUUCGGUGCUAAUGUUGGAUUAGAGAUCCUCAUCACAAUUCUAAAUUUGCACCAAAAGCACAUGAAGGUUUUAUGCUUGGUUACAGAAAGGACUUGCACACCUACAUAUUCUUCAACACCGUUCACCACAAGGUUGUUGAAACUGUAGAUGUGCGGUUCGAUGAAACUAAUGGCUCGCAAAGAGAGCACCUACGUCCUGUGCUAGAUGAAAAGUCACCUAAGGAAACCAUCAAGUUCAAGGCUAGUACUGAGGAUGUCAUUCCUACCUAAGAAUCUGCUGAAGAAGUCAUUCCAGAACGUGAAGAACAUCAUGCUAGUGCACCUGAAGAAAAUGGCUCUGAAAAAAAUGCUGAGACAAUUCCUUGUCGUCAACCCGCUCAUCCUCGCAUCGCAAAUGAAGUGCAGAUUGAAAAAAUCAUCAGCGACAUCAACGCACCAGGUCCUCUCACACGCUCAAAAGCUUCACAUUUGUCUAACUUUUGUGGGCACUUUGCUUUUGUACCUAUCAUAGAGCCCACCAUAGUAGAUGAGGCAUUUCUGGAGCCUGAGUGGAUUCAAGCGAUGCAAGAGGAAUUACAUCAAUUCGAGCUCAACAAUGUUUGGGAACUUUUCAAGCGACUAGACCCUCGAGCACAAUAUCAUCGGCACCAAAUGGAUCUACCACAACAAGCAAGAUGAAAAUGGCCUUGUGGUGAGGAAUAAGGCACAGCUUGGAGCUCAAGGCUACACACAUGUUGAAGGAAUUGAUUUCGUUGAAACUUUUGCACAUGUUGCUAGACUUGAGGCUAUUCGCAUAUUGUUUGCUUAUGCUAACCAUCAUAAUGUCAUCUUAUAUCAAAUGGAUGUGAAAAGUGCAUUCCUCAAUGAUAAACUUGAGGAAGAAGUAUAUGUUGCUCAACCCCCAGGUUUUGAUGAUCCAAAGCAUCCUGACAAAGUCUUCAGACUCAAUAAGGCCCUCUAUGGCCUCAAGCAGGCCCCUCGGGCGUGGUAUGAUACUUUGAAGGAAUUCCUCAUGAAGAAAGGCUUCAAACCCGGUUCACUUGACACAACUCUUUUCACCAAAACCUAUGAUGAUGAAUUAUUUGUGUGCCAAAUAUAUGUUGAUGAUAUUAUCUUUGGAUGUACUGACCAAUGUUACAGUGACGAAUUUGCCUAUAUGAUGAGUGAGGAAUAGCAAAUGGCUCUGCUGUGAGAAUUGAAAUUCUUCUUAGGUUUUCAAAUUCGUCAACAGAGCAAUGACAUCUUCAUAUCUCAAGAGAAAUACCUCAAGGAUGUAUUGAGGAAAUUCGGCAUGCAAGAUUGCAAAGGCGUCAGAAUCCCUAUGCCCACAAAUGGCCAUCUAUGCACUGAUGAAAAUGGUAUUGAUUUCCAUCAAAAGGUAUACUGCUCCAUGGUUGGCUCUUUAUUGUAUCUUGAGCAUCUAGGCCAGAUAUUAUGCUUAGUGUUUGCAUGUGUGCCCUGUUUCAAGCUACACCAAAGGAAUCACACCAUAAGGCUGUGAAGCAUAUUUUUCGAUAUCUAGCUCACACUCCAACACUUGGAUUAUGGUAUCCUAAGGGCUCGGCAUUUGAUCUCAGUGGAUAUUUUGACUCUAACUAUGCUGCUGAUUGUGUGGACCACAAGUCAACAUCAGACACAUGCCAUUUCCUCGGACGUUCCUUGGUAUGUUGGUCCUCGAAGAAACAGAACUGCGUAUCACUCUCUAAUGCUGAAGCUGAGUACAUUGCUACUCGUUCGUGUUGUGCUCAAUUGCUAUGGUUGAAGCAAGACCUCAAGGACUAUGGCAUCAUCGUGAAGAAUGUGCCUCUCUACUGUGACAAUGAGAGUGCCAUCAAGACUGCUCAUAACCCAGUUCAGUACUCGAAGACAAAGCACAUCUAGAUUCGUCAUCAUUUUCUUCAUGAUCAUGUGUUGAAGGGCGACAUCAACAUUGAGCACAUGAAGACAGAAGAACAACUAGCCGAUAUCUUCACAAAGCCCUUGGAUGAGAAGAGAUUUAGCAAGUUGCCGUGUGAGAUGAAUAUCUUAGAAUCUUCGAAUGUCCUUCUAAAAGGACACACAUCCUAACACUUAUGCAAAAUGAUGACUUAGAUGUGUAACACAUGAAAUAACAUUUUUCUUCAAUCAAUGAAGACUAACCCUCUAAGUGUGAAGAAAUUAACAAAGAAUUUGAUUCUAAGAGCCCUACGACAAUUGUACGCGGCGUCUAAAAUCAUCAUUCUUAUACGGUGGGUCACGCCACCAACAAAUGUUGAAAAUCUUCAAUUUGAGUUUUUUUUAAAUUCCUCAUUUGUUCAAAUUCUUCAAGUUUGCAUUGUUUUCACUCCUUCUGACCUUAAGACCUUAUUCUGCACACCCAAACCUUAUUCUGCACCUCCCUCCCACCUUCUUCCUCCCCCGCACAUACCUCCACCUCCCCUCCAGGUUCCAUUGCCGGCCUCCCUUCCCGCGACCCAUCCCCACCCCCGCUCCCACCCACGCCNNNNNNNNNNNNNNNNNNNNNNNNNNNNNNNNNNNNNNNNNNNNNNNNNNNNNNNNNNNNNNNNNNNNNNNNNNNNNNNNNNNNNNNNNNNNNNNNNNNNNNNNNNNNNNNNNNNNNNNNNNNNNNNNNNNNNNNNNNNNNNNNNNNNNNNNNNNNNNNNNNNNNNNNNNNNNNNNNNNNNNNNNNNNNNNNNNNNNNNNNNNNNNNNNNNNNNNNNNNNNNNNNNNNNNNNNNNNNNNNNNNNNNNNNNNNNNNNNNNNNNNNNNNNNNNNNNNNNNNNNNNNNCGUCGCGCGCCGCUCGAGCCUCAUCCCGCCCCGCGCCGCUCGAGCCUCGCCCCGCCCCGCGCUGCUGGAGCCCCCUCCCUCUAAUCGCCAUGCGCCGUCGGAGCCCCGCCAUCCCCGCCCAACCACGCACCAUCAGGAGCCCCGUCCCUCUCCUCACCUUCUUUCGUGGAUCUCCGGGAUGGGAUCCGACGAGCUACAGCUACCCUGGCCUCUUUCUCUCCGACAUCCGCCGACAUCCGCGGCCAGUACUACACCAGCGAGCAGCUUAGCCAGAUCCUCCUCUGGCUCCGUCGUCGUGCCUCCGUCGUUAGAUCGGGAGCUCAGCCACCCCGCGCCAUCAACACUAUACCGCAUCCUCCCACGCGUGCAGUGCACAUCCUGCCGCGCAGCAGUCAACAGCGGUGGCGCUGGUCCCCCAUCCCAUAGUCCCGAUGUCGGCGACCCUAUCUUCGGCGGGGACGAAGCCCGUAUAGUUAAAAAAACAUUUUUGCAAUUUUUUUGGGGGAUUUUGGAUGUGCAGGAAACUGCUGCUGUGUGGAGUGUGUUUUUGGUGCACCCUGACGGCGACCCAUCCGCCCCGACCUCCCCGAUGUCUCUUCGGUGCCGAGGUCGAGAUGCUCUCCCAGCGUGGUGGCCGCCACGGCUUCCCCUCCUUCUAAUCCGGCUGCCAUUGGCUCCGCGAUCUAUUCCGCUGCUUCUUGCAACUUUGGCUGACGAGGAGGACGGUGGCUGUGGUGGCAUGCUCCUCCUUAUCCCUCCAAUGGCAGGUAACGAGCUCCCUCCUUCAACUGUUGCAGUUCCUUUGAUUUUUUGUUGAAGCUCACUGAAUUUUGUUUUGUAGUGCACUGUUGAAAUGAAAAAAAAAAUACGUACAAGUUUCCUGGCGCGGCGUCGGGCAGUUUGGUAGGGAGCUGUGUGCAGUUUGCUUGCAUGGCCGGGAGCUUCCUGAUCCUGCUCCGACCCAUCUUCUUCCCCCUAGUGCACUGCAGUUGUUCAUCAUUUUCAUCUCGUGGUGUGUCGUUUGCAAAGAUCAUGGCCGUGCAGCUCGUCGUCGAUGUUUUACGGUUUUGUGCGUGGGGCGGUGCGGUUCUUUUCUGGCAUGCAAAAUUGCAAAAAAUGUAGUGUGGUUGGGCGCCCUACCGAGGUGCAGUUUGUCCACGGGUCCUUGUUUUGGUGUUUCAAGGAAAAAGUAUGAUGAUUCAGUUGUCGUUCUGUUCAAACACACUGAAACUUUGUUGGCGUAGCUUCAAAAAAGAGAGCAUCAAAAGUAUAACAAACUCCAUGUGUCUCGUUGGCGUAGCUUCAAAAAAGUGCAAAGAAUAUUUUUGUCCAGUGAUGAUGCAGUUUGCUGCGUAUGUUGGAGUAGUUCGCUUCUUUCACAAGUUAACUCUUUUUUGUUUUUGUUUAAGCUUGGUCCAGUGCAGUUCGAUUGGUAUGUUAGAGAGGUUCAUUUUCAUGAAAAAGGGUUAUUGCAGCCGAUUGAUGCAGCCCACUACACCCAUGUUUUUCAUUUGUUGGAAAAAAAUUUGUUGUCCACUCAAUAACGAAGGAAAAGAGAGCAUCACUUUUCCUUAAACAGAAGUUUAUCUAGUUGUUUGAGAAAAUGCAGAGAGGAAACGAGAGUAAAGAGAUGUGGAUGAAUUCUUGUAUGUAAUGUGUAGCGUGCAAACAAAUAAUGCAGUCCACUCGCCUCGUCCCCGCAGUGCAUAUUUCAUUUUUAAACCAAAAAUAGAUAUAUCCAGUGUACUACGGGAAAAUCAAAACUCUGUAGAGAAAAAGAAAAAGAAAAAUGCAGUGCACUCCGGUCUUUAAAAAAGUCCGCUCCGAAGGACUUUGUAGCACACUCUUGAAAUUUUUUACGUCCGACAAAAGAAAUCAUGAAGUGCACUUGCUCGUCCGAUGCAGUGUGGUUUUUCGUCUGAAGCAGUGCACUCCACCUCGUUUGGGAAAAUUUACGUCCCACAAAGAAAACCAUGCAGUGCACUUGCCCAUCUAAUGAAGUGCGGUAUUUCGUCUGAAGCAGUGCGUUCUUCUUUUCCCGUCCGAGAAAAAAUAUGUCUAAACAAAAAGAAACCAUGCAGUGCACUUGCCCAUCUAAUGAGGUGCGGUAUUUCGUCUGAAGCAGUGCGUUUUUCUUUCCUUGUCCGAGAAAAAUUACGUCUAAACAAAAAGAAACCAUGGAGUGCACUUGUCUAUCUGAUGCAGUGCGGUAUUUUGUCUAAAGCAAUGCGUUCUUCUGUCUGAUGCAGUAAAUAUGACGAUUUUGGUCUCGCGAAGAACAGAGUGUCCGCUUUUCGGUAAAAUUAAAACUGCUCUUAAACCGUAAGGAAUUAGAGAGAGUGUUCUACAUGAAAAAGUUGUGUCUUGUUGAUAUCUUUCCAACGGCGUAUGAUUUGAAUUAUUCCGACAAGCCGUUCAUAGAAAUUUCGCGAAAAAACAGCGGCUGCCUCUCGAAGUCAGCCACACGAUUUUCAAAAUUAACUAAAAAUUGUAAGGAAUCUCAAAACCAUUUCAACAUAUGAAAGUUGCGCCUUGUCCGUAGCUUUCCAACAGUGUAUCAUAUGUCUCGCUUCGACAAACGGUUAGAAAAUUGGAGCAAAAACAGUACCGAAAAUUUCAAAAAAAUUGAAAAACAGAGUUCCACGAUUUAGUAAAUUUGGAACUGCUCUUAAACCGUAAUGAAUUAGAGAAAUAUUUAUAUAUGAAAAAGAUGCGCCUCGACGAUAUCUAUCCAACGGCAUAUCAUUUGCUUCAUUCCAACAAGCGGUUUAGAAACAAAGCGAAAAAACGCUCCCUGCCACUCGUCAUCCGCCGCACUAUUUUCAAAACUGCUCUUAAACUGUGUGGAAUCUCGAAAAGUGUUCAACAUGUUGAAGUUGCACCUAAUCCAUAGAUUUUCAAUGGUAUAUUACACGCCUCAUUCCGAUAAACGGUUAAAAAAUUAGAGCGAAAACAGUACCGAAAAAGAUAACGCGUGCAGUUUUUUCCGAUAAGAAGUUCACUAGUCUCUAUUGCAGUGCUCGUCGUCAAAAUGAUGCAGUGCACUUCUGUUGAGCGUGCAGUAUCGAAGUGGUGUGCAGAAUAGUUAUUCUGCUAAUAUUAGCAGAAUAGACCGUCUCUGUGUGUGUGUGUGUGUGUGUGUGUGUGUGUGUGUGUGUGUGUGUGUGUAUACAUCUGGGCUAUUCUCUUACGCGUAACAGAAUAUUAUUCUGUUACCCUUUUUGAACUGACGUUUUCAGGUGGUUGUACUGAUGUUUUCGAAGCAGUUGAACUGAUGCUUUCAGUUGUGUUUAACACAUCGUGUUCUUUAGUCCAAAAACUUUUUGUAAUUUUUUUGUCGGAACGGGGCGUGUAAUAUAUCGUUGGAAAGCUCUUGACAACCAUAUUUCAAGUAUAUUGAACGUUUUUGCAAAAUCAUUAUGGUUUAAGAGCAGUUUUGAAAAAACUGUUUUUUUCAAAACCGAAAACGUGAAUCGUAUUUUAGACUCAAUUUUCAAACCGUUUGUCGGAAUUGAGCAAAUAAGAUGGCGUUGGAAAGCUGGUGAAAAUCCGCAUCUUCCAUAUAUGUAUUGUUUUUUCUAAUUAUAUAUAAUUUAAAAGUAAUUUGAAAAAUGGUGAAAUUCUAGGAGAAACAUAUUUUCGCGAUUUUUUGCAAAGGGUUUGUCGGAUUGACACAAAUGAUAUGGCGUUGGAAAGCUAUGGAAAAUGCGCAACUUUUUCGUAUAGAAACGUUUUUCUAAUUUCUUAUGGUUUGAAAACGAAUUUAAAUACGGUCAAAUUUGAUUUUGAACGCGAUUUGUUUACAAAGUUUGUCGAAACAUGGCAAAUAAUAUACCGUUGGAUAGUUAUCGAAAAUGCGAAACUUAGUUAUGUUGAACGUUUUCUCUACUUCGCAACCGUUUAAGAGUAAUUUAGAAUACGGCAUGACGGAUCUUGCUGUUUUCUUGUCUGAAAAACAGAGUAGUUGUACUGAUAUAUGUGUAUGUUUGUACUGAGCUAUUUUUUGUAGAGUAAUUUUGAAUGGUUCCGAAAAAGGGUACUUGUACUGAUUCUUGCAUGGGUUUGUACUAAGCGUGUUUUCACUAACUCGACUUUGCUCCGUUUUUUGGGUAAUAUUUUUCUCAUAAGUUUUCUACGGUUUACUGUAUCGUCGCCCCUGUACUUGUAUGGUUUGUAUCAUCGAACUGAAUUAUAUUUUAUUCAAAAAGAAAAUGUGUUUGUUUUAUUUAUUUUUUUAACUCGACAUUUUCUUGACAACAUUGUUCUGAACUUCUCUCAUUUUACGACUUGUACUGGGGUACUUACUAAGCGGGAUUUUCAUGGGGUUUCUUUUUUGCUUGAACUUUACAAUUUGAAUUUCUGUCAUUUCUUUUAUUCCGAACGGACCACCGUUUUUAACUCGUACUAUGGUACUUACUACGCCCGAACUGGGGUGGCUGUCGCAUGUCUCGGCGAGGAAGAAGACGAAUCACGGGAGCGCGGCUGGAUUCGGCCGGCGGCUGGGACGACGCGGGACGGGGAUGGCGGUGCGCGGCGGAGGAGGGAGGCUGGGACGGCGCGCGACAGCCGCCGGAGGCGGGGACGAGCCACGGCAACCGUCGACGGGGAGGUGCGCAUGGAGGGAGCAGCGCCCGUCAGAGGGAAGGCGCGCGGGGAGGGGCCGACGAGCACGUCGGCGGUGAGGCGUGCGGACGGCCAGCCGGCUUCAGCGCGUGUGUUGGAGGAGCUACCCGUAACGGCGCCGCGGGCUCCCUCGCUCCGGCUGCCGCCGUCGCUCGCUCGCCCGCGAAGGCUGCCUCCGGCAGUAGGAGGCGGGUUCGAUUGGGGACGGGUCGGGGAGUUUCUCCUGUCGUCUGCGCGUUGCGCCCUUAUAGGGACCGAGGGUAACAGAAUAAUAUUCUGUUACGGGUAACAAAAUAGUCCAGCCCUAUAUAUAUAUAUAUAUAUAUAUAUAUAUAUAUAUAUAUAUAUAUAUAUUUGAGUUUUUCUGUCCUCUACAUCAUUCACUUAUUGCUAAUUCUUCCAGUUGACUUUUCUGCUAAGUGAAUGUGAUCGGACCCUUCCCCCUCUAUGCUAAACUCAACCCAAUCUUUUCACAAAUUCUUCAUGUGCGUUCCAUUUGAAAACCGUUCAAAAUCUUCACCUUGUCCAUGUCAGCUGAAGAAUUUGUGAACGAAAACAUUAAAAUAUUCUUAUCUAAACUUUUGGCUUUUGCCUCUCAAACCGUUCCACAUUCCAUGAUAAGAUUUAUCUAUUCACCCACGAUCUCACAUGAUCGCCACCUCUCUGUACGUGGGUGACACUUGUCACUAGUAUGAGAAGGGUCAGGGGCACGUUCGUCCAUUUUCCUCGGACGAGCGGUUUUUCACCUUGGCUAUAAAUACCCCUCGCCCUCCUUAGACCGCAUUUACCCCGCUCCAUCUCACUCCCCUCGCUCGAGAUCUCUGACCUAGCGCUGCUGCUACUUCCAUCGUCGCUGAUGAGGAAGAGCUUCACUGCCUCAACCUCGUUGCCGUCGUACUCAUUCUGGCCGCAGAAAUCUUCACUCCGCCGCCGCCGUAGCUGUCUUCCUCUGCCAAGUUAGGGCAUGGAAGAUCUGAACGGACAAACUUCAAAUCUAAAACUCACAGUUCAUCAUGUUCUUCGUCAAGUGUAAAUAAAAUUGAUGUUUACUUCCCUUGUUGAUUCUAAUGAUUUCCACAAAAUCUUUAAAAGGUGUUUAUUCUUCAACUUCCACACUUUAAACACCUCACACAAGCAUUAGUUCUUGAUAUGUUUCUCUAAGCAACAUUUUUCUUCAAGAUUCCUCAAUUGUGUGGAUUUCUCAAUCUAUACAACUCUGGAACCUAAGUCAAAGAAUGCUUAGUGAAAUUCCUCAAGACACCACUAGUCAAAUUCCUCAAACUUGUUCUUUUUGCAAAAACUUCUGAGAACGCAUAUGACCUCUCCAAAUUCUUUGCACCUAUACUCUGUUCAUAGGUACACAUGUCCGCUGCUGAAUCUCUAGGUUCUCAUCUACUUAACUCAUUUGCAGCGUUCCUCGAAGACAAGUUGCAUACCUCUUUAGAGAACUUAAUUGUUCAAAAUCCUCAGCUGAAGAAAAUGGGAGAUGGCAAGAAACCUCAGAAGGGAGGCAAGAAACUGGAAGUGAACACUGCCUUUGAAAUCCCUGAUGACAUCUAUGCAGGGUAUUACACUCCUGAUGAGGCAAUUCAUGGAAAGGAAACAAAGAAUGAGCGCAAGGUGCGCAUUCAUAGGAUUGAAAGAAGAUGGGCACGAUAAUGGAGGGAAUACCGAUAUGUUACUCCUAAGUACAUGAAGAAAUCUGAUGUACACCCUCCUUGCCCAAGACCUCCAGUGGCACCUGGCUAAGAAGCUGAUCCCACUAGCCUCAAGCGCGGUGAGGACUAUCCUGAUGAAUGGGCCAAGCGGCAAGCUAAACUGGCCAAAGUGGCCAAGGAAGCAGUGAGGAAAUUCAACAAAGACUCUGCUGCUGGCGCUGCUAAGGCCUCUACUAGCAAGCCCAAGAAGGCUAUGCCAAAGAAGCCAGCUCACAAACCACCUUCCUCAGCAAUGCCCUCACGGCCAAACUCAUCAAUGCCCGCAUGGCAUAUUCCUCAAGCUGUUCCAGUUCCUCCUGUUGCAAAAUCUUCAGGUGCUCCUGCAAAGUCCUCGGCACCUGUGCAUCUCGCCUCUUGCAAAAGGACCACAAGCAUCUCAAUUGCCUCUGGAGCUUAUGCACGUUCUUCAGCUCCUCCUUAGUCAGGCCCCACAUUGCUGAAGACCAAGGCUACUGUUGGACGAGGCACUAGACCAAGUCCUCACAAGAAGCAGGUUGCCUUUCAUGUUCCAUCAAGUGUAGACGAAGCUGAUGAUGAUGAACUUGCUGAUAUCACCAGAGACAGACCGCAAUGGGCCGCAAGAGCUAAAAGCAGUGUUGUGCCACUUAUGCUGGAUCCGAAGAAGAUCCUGGACUUCAUUGAUCUAUGGCACAAAGAUCCAAACACUCCCUUGACAGAAUUAAAUCUCACACCUGGCCAAAGUCAUAUGUUGACGACUUUCAUAGCCGAAGAAAAAUAGAAAUUUGAGAAAGCCAGUAAGGUGAAGAAAGUUCAAUACAAGAAAGAGCACUUUCUGAAGAAAUUUUCUUUGAAGCUAUCACCUGACGAACUUGUUGCUCUGCAAUCAGAAAUCAAGAAUCUCAGUGAUGAAUUUGACGCAUCUCAUGUUGAAUGGCUAGGAGGCAAAGUCAGAUUCAUCAGAAUGGAGAAGGGAUUUACAUAAAAUGUUGCUACUCAAACGCACAAUGAAAUUCCUCAGGCUAAAGCAUCUGCCUAGCCUACUAAAGAACAUGCCAACACCGCUGAUGAAGAUCAGGUUGCUGAUGUCAGGACCCCGACUCAAUGCCACAUCAACCUAGCAUGUAACACCUCAUAUCACUUUCCGGCCUCACGCACGGUAUUCCCACGGGUGUCGCCUUACCUUUGCCCGGGACCGUUUGCGCCUUUUGGCACACGUAUAUGAUAGUGUCGCUAGCAUCCAUAUGAUAAGGAGCCCGGGCUGACAUGGCUAGUCGUAAACCCAAAGUGGCACAAACUUACAGGGACAGGCAUCCAUGACCCAACAUCGAACGUGUCGGUCAUCAGCGAGUGAAUCCAGGCUGUAGCACUGGGCUAGCAGGACUCUGGUGAACCGGGCUAUAGCGGGCUAACAUGACUCCGGUAUUCAUCGUGUGACAUUUCCCCGAGGGGACAGACACAGGAACGAAGAAGGACACAUGCCGGCGAGCCUAAGUGUUCUGGAGCAAUAGCAAGCUACCAUGGCUCAGUGGAAGCACUAGGAGACAUUUCCCGGUAAGAGAGGCUACUAAGGAUAAACAACUAGAUAGUCAGAUCACACACAUACCAAACAUUUCAAUAACAUACACACAAUAUGCUCGAUAUGUGCAAAUACAACAUGGCAUCACAACAUGACUCUACAACUCAAGUAUUUUAUUCAAUAGGCUCCAAGGAGCGAGAUAUUACAAACAUGGGUCUCACGACCCAACAUUCAGAGCAUACAAGUCAAAGCACACGCGGAAGCUUAACAUGUCUGAGUACAGACAGCUAUAAAUGAAAAAGGCUGAGAAGCCUGACUAUCUAUCAGAUCCUGCCGGGGCACAAGAUCGUAGCUGAGGUAACAAGCUAAACGUCAAAGUCCAAGCGGAACUACUAGUGAGACUGAAGUCUCUCUGAUAAAACAUAAAAUAGGAAAACGUGAGUACAAAUGUACCCAGCAAGACUUACAUCAGAACUAUCUACAUAUGCAUCAUUAUCAACAAAGAGGGUGGUGGGGUUUAACUACAGCAAGCCAGUGUUGACUCGGUGGCUAACCUGAACUACGACUGCAAUUAUCUCUUUUGAGGUGGCGCACACGAGUCCACAUAUUCACCAUAUCAAUACACCACUAUGGAUCCGCCCCCGUCUCCCUACGACAACGCCAUCCAUAGCACUCACGCUUAUCUUGCGCAUUUUAGAGUAUCCACUUUCACUUCUCUAUGAACUGUUAUAGGCAACCCAGAAGUCCUUUACCGUGGACACGGCUAUUCGAAUAGAUGAUGUUAACCCUGCAGGGGUGUACUUCUUCAUACAUGUUUCCACCACUUAGCGUCUGCACACGACAUGUGCUCGGCAGACUUCAAGCGAAAGUCGACGCGGGUGUAGACCACGACCUACCUAAACACUCAAGCCUCUAGUCCAGGUUUAUCGCCUACUCAUGUUCCAUCCGCAGGGAGUCCGGCCGAGGUUUCCAUAUACGGCCCCGAACGAUGUGUAUAGGGUUCCGUGACACCAAACGGGCGCCCGGUAUACCCGGCCACGUGCCUAUUGCAUCACAGCCCACCCCUCCGGUCAGCGCUGCGCAUGACCUCUAGCAUACUACAAACACCAGAAACUACUUGCAACUCCCGGACAGAGGACAAGGGUGAUUAAGAAGUCGAGCGCGGUCAUAUUUCAGGGCCCAAUGCAUGGUAGUAGCUGAAUCAUGGAUCACAAACACAGAACUCAGUUCCUGAGGACGGCUUCAAUGAGACAACCCACCAUGUACUCCUACAUGGCCUCUCAUUGCUACCUUUACCAAAUCGUGUUCACACACUUAGCUAAUACAUAGUAGGACAUGUUCACACACCUCUGAUUCAUCCCCGAUGAAUCAGACCUGACUCAACUCUAGGCAGUAGCAGGCAUGUCAAACAACCAUGAAUGAGUAGGCACAUCAGGGCUCAAACAACUCCUACUCAUGCUAGUGGGUUUGAUCUCUUUACUGUGGCAAUGACAGGUCAUGCAGAGGAAAGGGGUUCAACUACCGCAGCAUGUAACAGUUGAAUCGUUGUUGUCCUCAUGCAGUAAAAGAGAGCAGGAGAGAGAGAGUGGGAUUGUAUCGGAAUGAACAAGGGGGUUUUGCUUGCCUGGCACUUCUGAAGAUAGUAUAGUUCUUCAUCGGUGUCAUCGAUCUCAUCGUCGGAACACGUCUACUGAGAGGGAACAAACACCGGCAACAGAGAAAGAACACAAUCAAUGCAAUGCAACAAUAUGAUGCAUGAGUGUGACAUGGCAAUAUGUUGUGGUUUGAGCUAAUGCAACUAGCAACCAGAUUAAAUGAAGUUGGUUUGAAUCCAAGAUUCAAAUUCAAACUCCAUAUGUGGAUAUUUAAAUGCCAUUUAUAUGAUUUGUGCUAAACAGCAGCUAUAAGUUAUUCUAACAUUCAUGAAAACAGUACAAAUGGAUAGAUUGGAUUUUUCUGAUCAUUUUUCAUAUAUAAAUUAUUUCAUUCUGAGCUACGGUUGAUUUUCUAUGAUUUUUAGAAGUUUAGGACAUUUUUUGGAGUUCCUGAAUAAACUUAAAUCCAGAAAAUGCUUUAUUGCGUCAGGGUGACGUCGCUGUGAUGUCAGCAGUCAACAAGGUUGACCCAGGUCAAACCUGACGCUGGGACCCACUGGUCAGUGACUAGGCUAAUUAAUAGAGACUGUUAGUGCUAAUUUAAUCCUAACUAAAAGUGUCACUGGGCGUGGGCCCACAUGUCAGUGUCAUAACUAACUUAACAGAGUUAGUUAGUGUUAGGUUAGGCACUAUUCCAGGUUAAUUAGCGCUAAACAAACCUAACUAAUAAAUAACAAGGCUGGCCCACACGUCAGUGGGUCAGUGGGGAAGUCAAACCCCGGUCAAGCGGGGUCAAACCCACCGGAAUUGGUCCACGGCUCGUCGCCGGUUAAGCUCGAGACGCCGGAGGGGCUCGGAAAUUGCCCACGGUCAACAAAAUCGACUGCGAUUUGGUCCUACACGUAGCUGGGGCUCGGGCGCAUCUGGUAGGCCAAGCGGGAGGAGCUGGGGUGGAGCGAGCUCGCCGCAGUCGAGCACGUGGCGGCAGCCGGAGUUCGGGCUAGCAUGGGCGCGGGGCUGCAGCUCGAUUUAGAGCGAACGAAGAGCACGGGCAGAGGCUACGGGGCAGCAGGAACUCGACCAGGUGCUCAUACACGGCGUUGGCCCACCGUAACAAUGACGGCGACAUUCACGACGGCGACAAGUUUCGGCGGAGGUGGGGAACGGAGCUAGAGUAUGAGCGCGAGCAGGGGGGAGGGGGAAUUGGUGGCGGAGCUCACAGCGGUUGCAGAGGUGGCCUCGGCAUGCUCGGGGAAACACCGGAGCGAGCGGGGCGGCGAGAGGGAUCUCCGACAGCCGGCGACGAACGUGAUGAAGAUGGCGUCGAUGCAGGGCCUCCGGUGAGGCGUUGUUAGAUGGAGAGGACGAAGGGGGUGAAGCGAUGCUCGUGGGCACGUUGGGGAGGCGAGGGGAGCACGGAGGCUGCGGCGUUACAGCGGCGCGGCUGCGGCUGCGCUCGGGCGCGAGAGGGAGAGAGAGCAGAGGAGGGGAAAGAGGUCGGGAGAGAGUGAGAGAGGUCCAGGGGGUGUACGGUGUCGUCUGGAGUCGUCCAGGGCGUCGGCAGAAGCAGGAGGUGGCCACGGGUGGCUGUGCGCGCCGCACGCAGCUGCUUCUCCUCCUGGAAGAGGAGGAAGACGCCAGAGGGGUUGCGGUGGUGGGCUGGGCCAGAUGGCUGGGCCGGCCAGGUGGGCUGCACGGGUGAGGCCAGGUACUAACUCUCUCUCUCUCUCUUUUAUUUUUAUUUUCUAUUUUCUGUAAUUGUGUUUGGCUUUAAUAAAAAUGCCAGGGCAUUUCCAAAAAUCAUGAAACUGCUCAAUGUCACUGUUUGGAAUAUUUCCAACAGCAAACAUUUCAGUUUGUGAUUAUUUGAGCAUUUAAAAUAUUAUUUAACAAUUAAAUGCCCAAAUGCAAAUACCGUAUGAUUUAAUUCAAAAAUCCAGAAUGUCCUAGAAAAAUGUGCACCAUUUUUGGGAGAGGUUCUAGACCAAUCCAAAAAUAAUGAACUUUUCGGAAGAGCAUUUUGGGUUCAUUGAAAAUAUUUUUAUUUGAACCUAGUUGAUUUGAUCUGGUGCUAGGGUUUGAGCAAUCCCCAUUUCAACUUAAAUAAAAUUUAAACAUGAUGCACACAUGAAGGGCUAGUCUAGUGCAUACCAGAACAAGGGAUGUGACAACUCACCCCCACUAAACAAGAAUCUCGUCCCGAGAUUCAAGCAUAGGGUAAGAUGAAGGGAGAACGCAAACUAACAUAAUCUUCAGAUCUAGGUGGCACUUCAAAGAACGUUGACUCGAUCACCAUCAUUGUCUCGAUGUCUUGCCCCGAGAACUCCAACUAACAUGACAAUGAUAGCAAAAGGAAAACUCUAGAGGGAUCGAUCUUAUUGAUGGUCAAACAACUCAUGAUCAACUCACGGAGUGGGACAUUGAAACAUCUCUCGAGCUAAGACACAAAGCAUUCGUCCAGAGGGAUGGAGGGAAAACACAUGACAAAAGUUCACUAGGUAGGCAAUAAUUCCACACCUAAGAAGGUAUUGAACGGUUGUCAACAUAGUGAUGAGUUGAGUUGCCAUGAUACCAUAACGAUGCACCUUAGGGAAGGUGACUCGUAGAAAUAUCCCCUUAAGUGGCAAAAAGAAUUACUUUUGAUUCAGAGAUCAUUGAAACUCUUUAUACCAGCCUAAAGCAAUUCUCGAGCGAUCGUUUAGAGGGGUUCGGUAGAAUGGCAUACCCGGAUUAGAAUGGAUGAUGUGGAUUACCUUGUUGAAAACAACACAAGGGAUGAUAUUAGUAACUGGGGAGAAGCUCAACAGUAGAGAGUGAGUCCACUGUUUGAAAAGUUAUAGCAUAACCGAGGAAACUGAGAGCAAUCCCAGUUAGUGCCGAUGAUAACACCUAGCGCUUGUGUGUGCUCUCAAGAACUUGAGCAUUUCCAUAUUCAUCAAGGUUUUACCAAUAUCCGUGUCAAGGAUCCUGGCAACACAACGUACUCCCAUGAUGAACAACGAUGGAUGAUGCAGAUGCAAAGGAAGAUAACCUCCUCAGAUUUCACCUUAGCGAGGCCAAGGGAUCAAAAUCUGGAUGAUCGACCGAGAGACAUUUAGCACUCCGCUUCUAAUGUUCUCCUUGAUGUGAUAGCAUAAUCCAUUCAUAGAUAUGGUUUGACAUCUAGAACAUCAGGUAAAAGGUCGGACUUGGGAACACCAAAAAUCCAUAAGGAAUAACUAUGGAUGUAAAUCCUACGAAAUCCUCAUGGGGAGGUGGCCAACUUCCUCAAUCAAGAUACUACAAUAAUAGUUCUUCCGGCUGGGUGUGUUGGCCACGACAUCCACUUCACCGGUUAUGGAGAGACCAAUAUUAUAGUUCUUGGGAAAUGUUCCAACCAUCAUAUGUGCCUGGGAUUCAGAUCUGGUUGGUGUUAGGAUAUUCUAGACUCAUUGAGUCUAGAAAGAAAAAUGGAAGUUUGCAACACAAAUCGACAAGAUGACGUUGCGAGAUUCUCGGGGAAUGAACUACGAUAGUAAGCUCCAAAAUAUGAGCUGGUUCUGCUACAAACAUGUGAACACGUUGUCUCAGACAAGCAUGACCACAUCGUAGUCUUACAAUAAAACACUACCAAGUUCAGGUGGGAAACCAUCAUCGAGGAUAACAAAAUCUUGUACGAAUCCGUCUGGUACCUUCAGGACUAGCACUUAGAACUUAUUAUCCUUGAACAAAUCAAUCAGUGGCUUGGUGUGCUAGGGAAACAUAUAGAAUGGAGGUAAUUAAUCUACCAAACCAUAGAAUACUUCGCACGAAUGUGUGACUGACUUGGGAUGAUUCCAAGGGAGGUAAAACAAGCUCUCUCGAAUUCACGGCGGCAACUUGCAUCAAAUGCACAUGAAUUAGAGGAAGUCACUUCUCUCAUCCAAACAUAUACCUCAUGGACAGGCAUGAAGAAAAUGCUUACACAAGUUUCCAACACUAGCUGGAUGUUCCACACAGAUCAUGGAGGAGACAAAAUGCUACUGAUGGGCUCAACAGCAACUCAUCGGAAUUUCCAUAUCACUGGACUUCCUCCAUUAUGUGAACAAUGUGACAGUACUGGUCGGACCAAAAGAUGCAAUGGUGUAUGCUCGAGGAAUCAACCACGAGCAAGACAACAUUACGAAUACUAUUGGUUCUAACUUGAUUUGACGAUGGCCCACUCUCAAAUCAAGGUUUGGGCAAGAUGAUAGGUUCAACAUCUGAUCACGAGGACCAAUCAGUGAAGAUAUCAUCUUUCUUCAACACACAAACACAAAAAAAUGAUAUCCCUUAACAUGAACUAAGUCGGACAAACUUCCAUCUUCCAACUCUUCAAGUUGUUUUUUAGCUUGACCAACCAGCUCAGGGGUAUGCAACACAGAUUCUUGGAGAAGGGGUGGCUUAUAUGAAACCAACUUGAUCACGAGCUCAACAGAACAGUCAAGUGACGACCUGGUGAUACUUCUGAGAAGAUAUACAGAAAAAUCACGAACCACCGAUAUGUUACUAAGCUCGAGAACAAUCUUGCUUUUCAGAGCAGGACGAUAUGAUCAAAUAAGCAAGGGAUUGAAUAAUCCUAACUCAUUUAUCAAAGAGUGCACCAAGAAAUAUGGACUAGUAGCACGAUCAAUCUUAGAAUGACCAUUCAAUAACCAACACGCUAAGAAUGAGAUUGUUGUCCAAUAACUACCAAGCAACACAGUUGCUAGGAGUAUUGAUUCUACACAUCAUAGUUCACUUGUCGGCAUUCCGGUUCAACAACACGGGGACCGAGGAAUGAAUAAUGAUGGCGAGAAGUAUCACUGCACCAAGAAUUCAUAAGAUGAUGUGUAAUUCCUAUGACUUUCUUGACAUAAAGAGGGUAAUACUUCAGGGUAGAACAGAACAAAAACUGGAUUAGUAUUUUGAUCUGCGGAGUAUGACUACUUUGACCCAAUCCUAGAUAUGGAUGAGGCACUGGAGUUCAUUUCUCCUAGUCAUUCUGGGAUAGAAUGGCUUGACGGAACACAAGAAUAAUAGGCAUCGAUAAACAUGAAUGCACGACUACUCCUGACUAUCAAUUGAUAGACGAGGUCAGAAGACAACUAAAGAGGGACAACCCAAAAGAACAUAUGAUUUUCUGAGUUGUGGAUGCAUGGACUAGCAUGUCGAACGAAUUCAACAUAUUUCUCCCGGAUAACCCAUGCCGAAAGGUUGAACUGGCAGAGUCGCAAUAUAGAAUGGAGAACCCAUCGAGAGCACUCCUAUUGUGAUCUUUUGAUCCAACAAACAUCUGCUGUAAGUGGUUCAUAGUAUUUGGAAGAAGGAAAUACCACGGACCUCGAGGACUAAUGCAAAGGUUACUAAUUUCCUAAAGGGACUAGCAAACACUAUCAACAUGAGGUAAGUGGGGUGAGUCUCGGGUUCAAGAACCCAGAAGUAGAAUGCCUACCACUAAGUGGCAUCAUGGGAUGCUUUCGAGAAUGAUGGCCAGAAUCAUCACACUGGAACACAAAACAUGGCUAGAUUACUAGGUGAUACUCCAGACACCUAGGGUCAUAAUAAUAGCUCCAACCUAUAUACCGAGGCAAUGAAGUACCUCAACACACUAGUUAAUGUGGUUGAUCUGGCACCAAGGAACUUUGAAAUGGUAAGAAGGAAUUUGCAAAUGCAUCAGACUAUUUAGAAACCUGGGAUGACUUGGACAGCAUAACGGCUGUAAAUGCUCGAAAAGAUUUGAGACAUGCUACAAAAAUGGUUGCAUAACCACUCGAUCAUCAUAAUAUCAAGGUUCUGAGAUCAACUAUGAACAUACAGAGAUAGUAGAAACUGAACUGAGGCUUAAAUCCAACAAUCUUAUAAGUCUACGGAUGAGUAACACGUGAUCCUGAUAGAAAGAAGAGAUAACCUAGUUCCUUAACCCCGUAGGAAAGAUAGGAUGACUAAGAUCUUAAGGCCAUAAGGUAUAAGGAGUAAAAAGAGCCUUACGUUCCCAUCCACAAUCAAUUCCCCUACAUAUAACUAAAGCAUUUCUAGACUCAACUUCGACCAGUUUGGCUUGGUAAUCCUACAGGCAGUCAAGCUCUGAUAUCAAAGCUGUCAGGACCCCGACUCAAUGCCACAUCGACCUAGCAUGUAACACCUCAUAUCACUUUGCGGCCUCACGCACGGUAUUCCCACGAGUGUUGCCUUACCUUUGCCCGGGACCGUUUGCACCUUUUGGCACAUGUAUAUGAUAGUGUCGCUAGCAUCCAUAUGAUAAGGAGCCCGGGCUGACAUGGCUAGUCGUAAACCCAAAGUGGCACAAACUUACAGGGACAGGCAUCCAUGACCCAACAUCGAACGUGUCGGUCAUCAGCGAGUGAAUCCAGGCUGUAGCACUGGGCUAGCAGGACUCCGGUGAACCGGGCUAUAGCGGGCUAACAUGACUCCGGUAUUCAUCGUGUGACAUUUCCCUGACGGGACAGACACAGGAACGAAGAAGGACACAUGCCGGCUAGCCUAAGUGUUCUGGAGCAAUAGCAAGCUACCAUGGCUCAGUGGAAGCACUAGGAGACAUUUCCCGGUAAGAGAGGCUACUAAGGAUAAACAACUAGAUAGUCAGAUCCCACACAUACCAAACAUUUCAAUAACAUACACACAAUAUGCUCGAUAUGCGCAAAUACAACAUGGCAUCAGAACAUGACUCUACAACUCAAGUAUUUUAUUAAAUAGGCUCCAAGGAGCGAGAUAUUACAAACAUGGGUCUCACGACCCAACAUUCAAUGCAUACAAGUCAAAGCACACGCGGAAGCUUAACAUGUCUGAGUACAGAGAGCUAUAAAUGAAAAAGGCUGAGAAGCCUGACUAUCUAACAGAUCCUGCCGGGGCACAAGAUCGUAGAUGAGGUAACAAGCUAAACAUCGAAGUCCAAGUGGAACUACUAGUGAGACUGAAGUCUCUCUGAUAAAACAUAAAAUAGGAAAACGUGAGUACAAAUGUACCCAGCAAGACUUACAUCAGAACUAUCUACAUAUGCAUCAUUAUCAACAAAGGGGGUGGUGGGGUUUAACUGCAGCAAGCCAGCUUUGACUCGGUGGCUAACCUGAACUACGACUGCAAUUAGCUCUUUUGAGGUGGCGCACAUGAGUCCACAUAUUCACCAUAUCAAUACACCACUAUGGAUCCGCCCCCGUCUCCCUACGACAACGCCAUCCAUAGCACUCACGCUUAUCUUGCGCAUUUUAGAGUAUCCACUUUCACUUGUCUAUGAACUGUUAUAGGCAACCCAGAAGUCCUUUACCGCGGACACGGCUAUUCGAAUAGAUGAUGUUAACCCUGCAGAGGUGUACUUCUUCAUACAUGUUUCCACCACUUAGCGUCUGCACACGAAUGUGCUCGGCAGACUUCAAGCGAAAGCCGACGUGGGUGUAAACCACGACCUACCUAAACACUCAAGUCUCUAGUCCAGGUUUAUCGCCUAUUCAGGUUCCAUCCACAGGGAGUCCGGCCGAGGUUUCCACAUACGGCCCCGAACGAUGUGUACAGGGUUCUGUGACACCAAACGGGUGCCCGGUAUACCCGGCCACGUGCCUACCGCAUCACAGCCCACCCCUCCGGUCAGCGCUGCGCAUCGCCUCCAGCAUACUACAAACACCAGAAACUACUUGCAACUCCUGGACAGAGGACAAGGGUGAUUAAGAAGUCGAGCGGGGUCAUAUUUCAGGGCCCAAUGCAUGGUAGUAGCUGAAUCAUUGAUCACAAACACAGAACUCAGUUCCUGAGGACGACUUCAAUGAGACAACCCACGAUGUAUUCCUACAUGGCCUCUCACCGCUACCUUUACCAAAUCGUGUUCACACACUUAGCUCAUACACAUUAGGACAUGUUCACACACCUCUGAUUCAUCCCCGAUGAAUCAGACCUGACUCAACUCUAAGAAGUAGCAGGCAUGACAAACAAGCAUGAAUGAGUAGGCACAUCAGGGAUCAAACAACUCCUACUCAUGCUAGUGGGUUUCAUCUAUUUACUGUGGCAAUGAGAGGUCAUGCAGUGGAAAGGGGUUCAACUACCGCAGCAUGUAACAGUUGAAUCGUUGUUGUCCUAAUGCAGUAAAAGAGAGCAGGAGCGAGAGAGUGGGAUUGUAUCGGAAUGAACAAGGGGGGUUUGCUUGCCUGGCACUUCUGAAGAUAGUAUAGUUCUUCAUCGGUGUCAUCGAUCUCAUCGUCGGAACACGUCUACAGAGAGGGAACAAACACCAGCAAUAGAGAAAGAACACAAUCAAUGCAAUGCAACAAUAUGAUGCAUGAGUGUGACAUGGCAAUAUGUUGUGGUUUGAGCUAAUGCAACUAGCAACCAGACUAAAUGAAGUUGGUUCGAAUCCAAGAUUCAAAUUCAAACUCCAUAUGUGGAUAUUUAAAUGCCAUUUAUAUGAUUUGUGCUAAACAUCAGCUAUAAGUUGUUCUAACAUGCAUGAAAACAGUACAGAUGGAUAGAUUGGAUUUUUCUGAUCAUUUUUCAUAUAUAAAUUAUUUCAUUCCAAGCUACGGUUGAUUUUCUAUGAUUUUUAGAAGUUUAGGACAUUUUCUGGAAUUUCCUGAAUAAACUUAAAUCCAGAAAAUGCUUUAUUGCGUCAGGGUGACGUCGCUGUGAUGUGAGCAGUCAACAGGGUUGACCCAGGUCAAACCUAACGCUGGGACCCACUAGUCAGUGACUUGGCUAAUUAACAGAGACUGUUAGUGCUAAUUUAAUCCUAACUAAAAGUGUCACUGGGCGUGGGCCCACAUGUCAGUGUCAUAACUAACUUAACAGAGUUAGUUAGUGUUAGGUUAGGCACUAUUCCAGGUUAAUUAGCGCUAAACAAACCUAACUAAUAAAUAACAAGGCUGGCCCACACAUCAGUGGGUCAGGGGGAAGUCAACGCCCGGUCAAGCGGGGUCAAACCCGCCGGACUUGGUCCACGGCUCAUCGCCGGUGAAGCCCGAGACGCCGGAGGGGCUCGGAAAUUUCCCAUCAUCGACCAAAUCGACCGCGGUUUGGUCCUACGAGUAGCUGGGGCUCGCACACAUCUGGUAGGCCAAGCGGGAGGAGCUGGGGUGGAGCGAGCUCGCCGGAGUCAAGCUCGUGGCGGCAGCCGGAGUUCGGGCCAGCACGGGCGCGGGGCUGCAACUCGAUUUAGAGUGAACGAGGAGCACGGGAAGAGGCUAUGGGGCAGUAUGAACUCGACCAGGUGCUCAUACGCGGCGUUGGCCCACUGUAACGACGACGACGACAUUCGCGACGGCGACAAGUUUCGGCGGAGGUGGGGAACGGAGCUAGAGUAUGAGCGCAAGCAGGGAGGAGGGGGAAUCGGUGGCGGAGCUCAUAGCGGUUGCAGAGGUGGCCUCGGCGUGCUCGGGGAAACAUCGGAGCAAGCGGGGCGGCGAGAGGGAUCUCCGGCGGCCAGCGACGAACGUGAUGAAGAUGGCGUUGAUGCAGGGCCUCCAGCGAGGCGUGGCUAGACGGAGAGGACGAGCGAGGUGCUGCGAUGCUCGUGGGCACGUUGGGGAGGCGAGGGGAGCACGGAGGCUGCGGCAUUACGGCGGCGCGGUUGCGGCUGCGCUCGGGCGCAAGAGGGAGGGAGAGCAGAGGAGGGGAAAGAGGUCGGGAGAGAGUGAGAGAGGUCCAGGGGGGUGUGGCGUCGUCUGGAGUGUUCAGGGCGUCGGCAGAAGCAGGAGGUGGCCGCGGGUGGCUGUGCGCGCCGCACGCAGCUGCUUCUCCUCCAGGCAGAGGAGGAAGAAGACAAAGGGGUUGCGGUGGUGGGCUGGGCCAGAUGGCUGGGCCGGCCAGGUGGGCUGCACGGGUGAGGCCAGGUACUAACUUUCUCUCUCUGUCUUUUAUUUUCAUUUUCUAUUUUCUGUAAUUGUGUUUGGCUUUAAUAAAAAUGCCAGGGCAUUUCCAAAAAUCAUGAAACUGCUCAAUGUCACUGUUUGGAAUAUUUCCAACAGCAAAUAUUUCAGUUCGUGAUUGUUUGAGCAUUUAAAAUAUUAUUUAGAAAUUAAAUGCCCAAAUGCAAAUACCGUAUGAUUUAAUUCAAAAAUCCAGAAUGACCUAGAAAAAUGUGCACCAUUUUUGGGAGAGGUUCUAGACCAAUCCAAAAAUACUGAACUUUUCUGAAGAGCAUUUUGGGUUCAUUGAAAAUAUUUUUAUUUGAACCUAGUUGAUUUGAUCUGGUGCUAGGGUUUGAGCAAUCCCCAUUUCAACUUAAAUAAAAUUUAAACAUGAUGCACACAUGAAGGGCUAGUCUAGUGCAUACCAGAACUAGGGAUGUGAUAGCUGGAGAAAAUGAGAGCACCAGGGCUGAUGAAGCUAUUCCAGCCACUAAAGAAACCUCCAGGGCAACAACUAGUGUUGCGCCUGAAGAACCAACCAGGCCAGUCGAUGCAUCUGCUGCCGAGCCUGAUGAAUCUGAACAAGACAGGACUGUAAGUGCAUCUAGUGCCCCUUAGUGAUUUUGGUGUAUUGAAGACUUAUAGGUUAAGGGACUAAUCUGUUUGUGAUUGUACACAAGCUAUAUAAGUCAAUGAGGAGUUUGAUAUUUACAAUGAAAGUCGACCCAGAAAAAUGAAUGUCUUCAGUUGAAGACUUUGGUUCUCCUGAAGACUUUGAAAGUGAAGAAAUUGGUGUGACCUUGAAGACUUGGAUAUUCAUGCGAGGAUUAUGAAGCGUGAAGACUUUUGUUUCCAUAGUUUCAUUUUCUCUUUCUAGAGUCAUAGGAAACACCGUACUAUUAAAGGGGGUCGACGUAAUACUAAGGAAACUGAUUUCCAAGUGAUGCUCAUCUCAGAAUCCUGUACCUACCCAAUCCUUUCGAUGAAGCCAUUAGAAAUCUCAUAUCAGUUCAGUCAAUUUCUUCAGUGACAGAGACGAAGAUCUUCUGGUCUCUGAGGAAUUUGUUCUGACUGAGGAGUUAGGAAUUCGCCAAUGCGGAUUGCCUACAUAGUGAGGAACAUGAUAGCCCCGAGGAAUUCGAACCUCAAAUCCGAUCGUUGUUGUGCUAUGCGCUAGCUGUCCAAAAUAUCCCACCACCUAACGGUCAUAUCAUUGAAGGGCAUUUAUGUCUUAUCAUGUCGGGAUGCUCCCAAGGCUAUAAAUAGCCACCCCCUACAACCACUAGCUGGUUGGCUGCUCCGAGAGAAACUGACACUUGUCAAUUGAGAGCAUCCCAUCCUCCGAGGACUUUGAGCGAAAAUCAUAAAGUGAAGAAAACCCAAACCCCAAACCCAAACACCUACAAACCCAAAGUGAUUGUUCCUAUGUGGAACUAACACUUGUUACCUUUGAGGACUAUGUAUCCUCCAGACGGUUAGGCGUCAUGGUCUGAGCAUCUAAGAGGAAUUGUGGAUUGCCGAGAAACCAAGUCUAUGAAGGUUUGGAAGUCAACUGUGAAGACUUACCACGAGUGCUGGGCGAGAUCUAUGUGAUCUUAACUCAAGGAGAAUACGGUGAGGACUGUGUGUCCGGGACUAUGUAUCCUCGAGUUUAAAUACUCAUCCGCUCCAACCAGACAUACAACUGUCACAGUAGUUGGAGCUGGUCUACCAAAUCUUUGUCUUCACCAAGCCUACUGGUUCUAUUUCCUCAACCCUUUCAUUUCCUCAUUCAUGUGUUGAUGAACCUGAUCAUUACUAUUUGAAGACUUUAACUGAAGACUUUCUCUAUUUCCUCAAUCCAAUUUCUUUAGUCACACUGUCUUUAGCCUGCUUAUCCUGUGUUUACGCUUUCUGUACUCUGCGUUUGUUUUUCAUUUCAUCAUGAUGACUCUGCUAUUGCUCUGUUAUGCUUAUACCUGACUACUUAUUCCGCUACUAGUUGUUUGUGACUUAGGAAUUUCUUCACCCUAAAAUUCCUCAGUGACGAAUUUGUAAAAAUCGCCUAUUCACCCCCCGCCCCCCUCUAGUCGACUUAACGCACUUUCAAUUGGUAUUAGAGCAAGGUACUCCCUUGUUCUGUGUGAUUUUGGUUUAACCACCUGGAGUUUUAGUUAUGUCGACUGCAGGAAUGAAGAAAGUGACUUGCCCCAUCUUUGACAACCAUGAGUAUCCCAAGUGGAAGGCCAUGAUGAAGAAGCGACUCAUGGCGAUGAACAGCGAAUUGUGGACCGUCACUGAGAUUAGUCUUACCGAUCGUUGCAAGAUGGCUGAGGCUGAUGAUAUUCGCCAGUACACUCUACUCAACCUCAAGGUGAAGGAUGUCAUCUGCUCCUGUUUGUCCCAAAAUCAGUUCAGGAACAUCAUGCAUCUCAACCAUGCGAAGCUUAUAUGGGACCGACUCACUAAGGUCUAUGAAGGCCAUCGAACUCGUCAUGAUCCUUGGUUUGAGGAUUUCAAGGAAUAUCUCAAGGAGAUGACUUUCGCCCCAGAAUCAUCAUCCACUGCACCAUGCCUUAUGGGAAAGGGUGCCAACGUAACUGAAUGAUACCUUUCUGAAUCUAGUGAUGAUGAAUCGGGUGAUGAAUUUGGACCCAGCUACACUAAACUUGCUUCCCUUGCCACUAAACAACAAAGAGCUCUUGAAAAAGUUCAAAACAUGCUUGAUGAAAGCGAUGAUAUGUUGGGUGAGGAAUUGAAUCGAACUAAGGCUUUGACUGAUAGUCUUCAGAAACUUCAGUCUAAGUUUGACAACCUAACAUUCUCUUAACUGAUCAUGAGAAGCUUUCUUAUGAAUUUCUUCAGAGAAAGCACGAUCUUGAGAAGUUAAAAGUGAGUUAUGAAGAUAUUCAGAAAGAAAACGAUUCAUUGCUUGCUCAACAGAUUAGUUCCGCUCAGGAAGAAUUUAUUCCACCAUGUCUGAAAUGCAUUGAGCGUGAAUCUGCUAAUUCUUCACCUGAAUGUUCAAAUGCUUCUAUUGCUGCAAAUUCUUCAAUUGUCUCUGUGGUCACAAAUUCCUCAUCUGAGGACACCACAAGUAUCACUGACGAUAAUGCAGGGUUGAAGGUAUUGUAUGUGGCCGGCAUUUACAAAAUCCUCAAAGGGCAUCAGACUCUAUGUGAUGUGCUCACAAAGCAGAUCUUGAACAGGAACCCUAGGAAAGAGGGUAUGGCCUUUGAGAGGAAACUCAAUGCUGAUGGGACCUACUGGAAACCUAAGCAGUAUCCCAAAAUCUCAUGGGUUGCGGCUAAAGGACCUCCUGUAGAUCCAUGCAUUUUAUCUGGCUUUACUUGUGAUUCUUCAUAUUCCUCUGAUGAGUCAUUUGACUCCAACUAUAAAUUGUUCAAGAAUCAGAAUGGUUAAGUAUUUGCUCGAUAUGUUGGAACUAACUACAGGAACGGUCCCCCUAUGAAGAAAAUUUGGGUUCCCAAAAGGUGCCUUGAAAAUCUUCAGGUGAAUGUCAUCAUGACACCACCUAUGAAGAAAAGGAACCCAGACCAAAUACUUCAUAUGGACCAAAUUCUUCAUCUAGAUCAAAAUCCUCACAUGAACGUCAUCGUGCUUACACUUCUGUUUCGCAGGGAAAGUCUAAAGGCUAUGAAUAUGUGCAUUAUUCUUCAAACCAUUAUGUUCAUAAGUCCUCGAAGAAUUUCUCUGCUUAUUCAUAUGAUUAUCCUAACCACUCUUCUGUGAAACAAAGUGCACUGGCUUCAUUGCCAUAUUUUUCUUAUGGAUCUUGCAGAAUGAUGAACUCUUUGCCACCCCUCCAGAUGUGGGUGGUGAAGAAAAAGAACUAAUCUCUUAUGCAGGGUCAGGUCUCCAGAUGAACUUAAUUGUCUGAAGAAUUUGCUAGAGAUCUAAAUGUGCUUGAAUGGACGCAAGCUAAUAUGAAGAAAUGAAUCAUUCAUUUCGCUUGUCCUCAUAUUGCUAUCUCUGUUAUUGUUGAUGAAAUUUAUAUCAUAUUCUUCACUGAUGAAGUAUAUGGGUGAUAACCCACAAGUGUAGGGGAUCGCAACAACUUUCGAGGGUAGAGUAUUCAACCCAAAUUUAUUGAUUCGACACAAGGGGAGCCAAAGAAUAUUCUGAAGUAUUAGCAGUUAAGUUGUUAAUUCAACCAAACCUGGAUAACACAGUAUCUGCAGCAAAGUAUUUAGUAGCAAAGUAGUAUGAUAGUAAUGGUAACAGUGGCAAAAGUAAAGAUAAUAGUUUUGUAGUAGGUGUAAUAGUAGCAACGAAAAAGUAAAUAAGCAAAGCACAAUAUGUGAAAAGCUCGUAGGCAUUGGAUCAGUGAUGGAUAAUUAUGUCAGAUGCGAUUCCUCAUGUAAUAGUUAUAACAUAGGAUGACACAGAACUAGCUCCAGUUCAUCAAUGUAAUGUAGGCAUGUAUUCCGAAUAUAGUCAUACGUGCUUAUGGAAAAGAACUUGCAUGAAAUCUUUGUCCUACCCUCCCAUGGCGGCGGGGUCCUAGUGGAAACUAUGGGAUAUUAAGGCCUCCUUUUAAUACAGAACCGGAACAAAGCAUUAGCACAUAGUGAAUACAUGAACUCCUCAAACUAUGGUCAUCACCGAGAAGUAUCCCGAUUAUUGUCACUUCGGGGUUGUUGUCGAUGUCAAAACCGGUGGAUCUCGGGUAGGGGGUCCCGAUAUGUGUGUCUUAGGCUAAUGAUAACAGGAGGCAAGGGAAACAAUUUUACCCAGGUUCGGGCCAUCUCGAUGGAGGUAAAACCCUACUUCCUGCUUGAUUGAUAUUGAUGAUAUGGGUAUUACAAGAGUUGAUCUACAAUGAGAUCGUAGAGGCUAAACCCUAGAAGCUAGCCUAUGAUGAUUAUGAUUGUGAUCGUCCCUCUGAGGACUAAACCCUCCGGUUUAUAUAGACACCGGAGGGUGCUAGGGUUUACACGGAGUCAGUUACAAAGAAGGAAAUAUAAUAUUCGGAUCGCCAAGCUUGUCUUCCACGCAAAGGAGAGUCCCAUCCGGACACAGGACGGAGUCUUGAGUCUUGUAUCUUCACGGUCCAACAGUCCGUCCAAAGUGUAUAGUCCGGCUAUCCGGAUAUCCCCUAAUCCAGGACUCCCUUAGUAGCCCCUGAACCAGGCUUCAAUGAAGAUGAGUCCGGCGCGCAGUUUGUCUUCGGCAUUGCAAGGCGGGUUCCUUCUCCGAAUACUCCAAAAUAAUUAUCGAACACUUGGAUCGUGUCUGAAUCGGCAAGAUGAUCUUCGUACACCACCGUAGAGAGAAUGAUAUUUCACAAAUAUAAUCUGCUGACAACUCUAGACAAAGUGUCAUGACACUACGGUCGGGUCAUUAUUCAAACCAUUUUUCCACAACCAGCCAUAGCGCAUAUUGCGAGUCGGUUUCCUUGGCACGUAUUGUCACAACAGAGAUCAUGUACCCUUAUUACGGGAUUUCCAUCAAUACGGGUAUGGGUAACCCAACCUCGCAAUCAAUCGUUGCGCUUGGGAAAUAAGCGAUUCUCAACGGGAAAGUGGGGAGGCGCACCGUUCUCGCCGCCUCUAUAAAGGGAUAAGGAUUCCCCAUUUUCACCAAUGCCUUCUUCCUCCUCUACUUAUCCAUUCCCACACCCUCGAGCUCCAACGCCCUGGUUCAUGCUUUCUCCGCACAGUCAAACAUGUCCGGAGCAGGAGGCAAGUGAGUGGCCUCCACCGUGAAGGAGGAGCAUAUUACGAAGCUCCGGGCGGCCGGAUACUUGGCCGCAGACAUAGCGCACCGGCUACCGGGCGAAGGGCAGGUCACUCCAACUCCGGAACCCAUGAGAGGGUUGUAUUUCUCGCCCACUUCGUCCGUGGACUGGGAUUUCCACUUCAUCCCUUCGUCCGCGGGCUCAUAUUCUACUACAGGCUAGAUUUCCAUGAUCUAGCCCCAAAUUUCAUCCUCAACAUCUCGGCGUUUAUCGUCGUGUGUGAGGCCUUCCUCCGCAUCAAGCCUCACUUCGGCUUGUGGCUAUGAAUCUUCUGUGUGAAGCCGAAGAUCGUAAGCGGCCAACAAGCGAAGUGCGGAGGCUCCAUGGUGGGCAAGAUGCCCAACGUUACCUGGCUUGACGGCUCCUUUGCGGAGACCGUGAAAGGGUGGCAAUCAGGGUGGUUCUACAUCACCGAGCUGCAUGACGCCAACUGGGCGGCGGCCCCCGAGUUCUGAUCCGGAAUCCCCAUGCGGCUCACCUCCUGGGAAAAGAAGGGCCUGGCCUGGGGCGAGCCUGCGGAGCUGACUGAACUUCAGAACUGCAUCAAGAAUAUGAAGGACAAGAAUAUCAAGCUUGUCAACGUGGUCCGGGUCAUGCUUGUCCGCCAGAUCCUUCCGUGCCAAAGACGGGCUUUUAAUCUGUGGGAGUUCGUCCCGGCCGAACACCAGACGCUUCAAAAGCUCUACGGCAUGACGCACAAGGACACCUGGAAGGCGCUGUUCAAGGCCUCCGAAAUACCUCCUCCCACAUCCGAGGACCGCGGACUUCAUGCCACGCGGCUCCCCCGUCCGGUGAGUUUUCUGACUACCACCGGAUUCAGUUUUUCCCAAUGUACUCAUGGGGGAAUCUCAAGUCAUUGUGCAUAUUUGAUCAGGAAUAUGUGGAGAGGCAGAGCGGAUUGACUGUCCAGCUCCACUGCCAGAAGGUCCAGCAGAUGCUCUCCUAAUGGAGAUGCUAGUUCCGGCGCCCUACAAUGCGCCGGAAAAGAAGGCCGAAAAGAAGGCCCCGGGGACUAGGAAGGGUCUCCGGUGUAAGGUCGUACCGGACGCCUCGUCCGAAGACGACGAGGCACACUCCUCCCCCGAAGGGGAGGAAGAAGAGGAAGGGUCCGCCCCAUUCGGAGAGGAUGGGGGGCCUAAGAAGGCGGGCCAGGGGACCGGGAAGGGUCCCCGGCGCAAGGCUGUCAUACCCUCGUCGUCCGAAGACGACGAGGCAGAUUCCUCCCACGGAGGCAGGGGGAAACACGAAGAAACUCUGCCUCCCCGCACUGGGGAGGAGAAGAAGAGGAAAGCUGCCUCGGAGGGGGGGCUAGGACGCCCAAGAAGGGAAAGGCGUCCCUUCCGGACUACUCCACCACGGCUGCCUAUAGUAAGGAGGAGUGGCUGCCCAGGGGGAAGCCCCUAGUGAGAUCGUAAGUAUCCGCACUCUGUUGUACUUUAGUGCGACUUCGCUUCAUAGUCUGUUAUAACGCUGAACACGUAUAUGCCGAGGUAUCAUCUUCGGAUGGGUCCUUGAGUGAUUCGGCGAUGAACUCGCUUCCUACGGCCACUACCCCUCGGCCUGCGGAUGACACGGAGGUGUUGCCCCAAAGGCUCCCGGAGCAGGGGGGAGGUGGCUCUAGAGACGCCCCAGGGUGAAAUUCCAGAUGUCGGGCACACGGGGUAUAGAAUCCCCGCAGAUCGUGCCGAUGAGAGCCGCGGCCAGCCGGGCUCUCAGCCGGAUACUGUACUGGAACCUCUGAUGGUUCCGGACUCGGGCAGGUGGCCCCUUGCUAGGGAGGGCGAGCCGUCUGUGCCGAUGACCUCCGUUAUGCUAGGGGCGUCGGAUAGUCUGCUGGAAGCGCUUCAUGGCGCUUCCAUGAAUGAAGAGCACCGUACUCUUAUGAGUGCGGUUAUUCAAAAGGUUCUGUCUGCCAAGAGCGGACUAACCGAAGCCUGCACCAGCCUCCUGACGGGCUUUAAGGUAAGUAAUCAAAAAUGUGUGAAAUAAUCACCCAAUAGGUAGUAGCCCCUGAUACUCUGUUUGGUGUUCGGAACGAAAAGCCAAAUGGAGGGUCGAUUAUAAUCCGCAUGAGUCUAAUAGUAGGUUUGCAUGUGAAUAAGCAGGCGGUGCUGCUUGCCGCUGCUUCACGCACGGCCGAGGUCACUGGACUUAAACGGGACCUGGAGCAGGUACAAGGAGAGCUCGGCCUCACGAAGAGGCAGCUCAAAGAGAACAAAGGUGAGUGAUACCCCGUUCGCAUAUUUAUAAAGAAUAGACAAAAAUUGGUGAUUCUAACGACAAAGCGUCGUGACUUUGUGAUAGGGGCCACCACCUAAGUGGCGCCUCUGAAGAAAGCAUUGUCCGAGGCCAAAGACAAGGCGGCCUUGGAGCGCAAGGAGCGCGAAAAGCAAGAUGCUAGAGUGGGCGAGGUUGGAAUAGAGCUCCAGGAGUUCGGCAAGAAGUUCGAGUCCUUGGAGCAUGAUCUUAAGAUGAAAGAGACUGAGCUUGCGAAGGCCCUUGCGAGUGUGAAAGACGCCAAGGCCGAAGCCGAAAAGGCACAGCAGGAAAACCAGGCGGCCAAGAAGAUAGCGGCGGGUAAGACAUUCUUUAUGCAAAGCAAGCAUGUGGAGGAGACAUUUCUUUUACUUACCUGGAUUCGGGGCUCUCCAGGGGCAUUCACAGAUCUGCCACACAGCGUAUCUGAUGCUGUGGAGUUCUACCGUGCCAAGGAGGGGAGCUCAACAGAGAAGUUGUUCUGGUGCCAGUAUGCUGGAGCCGAACACCCAGUGCCUCUGAGUGACUAACUAAAGCAGUUGGUUGAACUCCAUAGGGCGGCCGAAGUGGCUAUGAAAGAUUUCAUAGUCCGGAUGCGGCCUGGUGAGCCCUUGCCUGCCAGCUACUUCGGCCUGAUAAAGCGGAUGGUAAACGCCUAUCCGCGGCUUGAGGUGAUCAAGCGAUCCGUUUGCAUUGAGGGUGCCCACCGGGCCUUUACCCGUGUGAAGGUGCAUUGGGGCAAGCUGGAUGCGGAGAAGCUGGUGAAAGAUGGGCCGCCGGAGGGCAAGGCGCAUCGCUGUCCCAAAAAAUAUUAUGAUGGCAUUAUGGAAGGCGCUCGUCUCGUGGCCGAUGAAUGUACGAAGGACACGAUCCUUGAGUAAAUGUACUUCUGCCGUUGUUGUAAUAUAAAGACGAAGUUACUUGCACUAUAUAGCACCUUUUGAUUUAAAAUAUUACCUUCUGUGCGGCUGUUUAUAAAAUUCUGAAAGUAGGCCAGUCGUCGGCUUCCGCCCCCACGUAACUAGUUCCGCGGUGUUCCUGGAAAAACCCAGACACUCUUUAUCCAAAUUUUUGGUCCCUUAAGGAGGUGUCUGGCGCAGCGAACAAGGCAAUCGGUCUAUGCGGCUUUAUAACUUUCACUUAGCCAUAGAAGUCUACAAUUUUAAAUUUCGGCGAAGCCCCUAGAAUUCGGAAAGCCGAAUUGGGGCGCUAUAUACGCCUAAAUCGGAUGAAGCCGAUUCCUCGCCUAAAGCGGAAAAAAUCUUUAAGGAUUUUAAGACCUCUCGAACAGCGACCAACUCUUGCCGCAUCAUGCCGGUUAGUUUUCGGCUUUCUCUACUAAGGUGCUCGUCCGGAAGAACCGGAACACAAUGGCAGUAGUUCUCCCUGUGCUACCUUAGCCGAUAUAAUGGAACGUAAGGUACCAAAACAAGGGAGCCGGGAAAACCCAACUAUUGACCCAAGACAUGAUUCGGAGCUGAUGCAUAUAGUGCUAUAAGUUCGGGGUGCCGCACUGUUGAAAGUGUUCGGACUUGUCUUGCCGUAUUAUGGGGCGCCAUAAGAAGCCCCUGGCAAACUGAACGUACCAAGGUGUACGGAUGCAAUAUUAAAUAAACAUUUAUAGGAAAAAUGUGCAAAUAGGAAUAAUAAGAUGAUGCUAUAUAUUAUCUCCCAUUGAUGAAUAAUACGUUUAAGCGUAUGUUUACAAUGAGUGCGUUUAAGCAGAAGUAAAUAGGACUAUUUAACAUGUCCUAUCCAAGGGCGGGCUGCAUGUAGGUAUAUAAAACAGGUAUAACGAUCAUGAACAGAUUCCACCUGGGCAUUUUCUUUAUGCGCAAAGCCUGUUGCCUCCUUGGUUUUCUCUCCUGUGUAAGUCCGACAAUCCGGCUCUUCUGAAGAGGCUGCCCUAAAGCAGUGUCCGGAAAGAUAAAAGGGGGGGUUAUUAAAGUAUGUUGCGGUUAUACCGCACUGUUGACUGAGUCACUGUUGCGCCUCCGCCUAUGCCCAUGGUAUUGUGAGUGUGUAAUUGUGUACGCGCGGCACGAAUGCUGCUUUGAUGGGGCUUGAGCGGAGGCCGAACUGCUAGUCGCGCUCUUGGCGUGCCUGGCAAUCCUGUUGCGGGGUGCUCCGGACUCGCUUGAUGGUGUUCGAGGUUGUCGUAGCCGGAUUGGUGGUUUGUCGGAGAAGUCCGCAUUGUACUUCUGCCGCGAGGGCUGCAGUAUGUUCUUCUAUACGGAGAGAGCGGUCCAUGUUUCCGUUGACUGUUAUGACCCCGCGAGGUCCUGGCAUCUUGCUUGAGGUAUGCAUAGUGUGGUACUGCAUUGAAUCUAGCGAAUGCGGUUCGUCCAAGCAGUGCGUGGUAACCACUACGGAAAGGGAUGAUAUCGAAGAUUAACUCUUCGCUUCGGAAGUUAUCCGGAGAUCCGAAGACCAGUUCCAACAUUAUAGAGCCCGUGCAACGGGCCUCUACUCCUGGAAUUACACCUUUGAAGGUGGUUUUGGUGGGCUUGAUCCUUGAAGGGUCGAUGCCCAUUUUGCGCAUUGUGUCCUAAUAAAGUAGGUUCAGGCUGUUGCUGCCAUCCAUAAGGACUCGCGUGAGGUGGAAUCCGUCAAUGAUUGGGUCUAGGACCAAUGCGGCUGAACCGCCGUGACGGAUGCUGGUAGGGUGAUCCCUACGAUCGAAGGUGAUCGGACAGGCUGACCAUGGGUUGAAUUUUGGGGCGACUGGCUCCAUCGCAUAGACGUCCCGUAGUGCUCGCUUCCAUUCCCGUUUGGGAAUAUGGGUAGCGUAGAUCAUGUUGAUCGUUUUCACCUGGGGAGGAAAUUUCUUCUCUCCUCCUGUGUUCAGACGCCGGGGCUCCUCGUCAUCGUGGUUGUGCAACCCCUUGUCCUUGUUUUCGGCAUUUAUUUUGCCGACCUGUUUGAACACCCAGUAGUCUCUAUUAGUGUGGUUUGCUGGCUUGUCCGGGGUGUCAUGAAUUUGGCACGAGCGUUCAAGUAUGCGGUCCAGACUGGACGGUCCCUGAUUGUUUCUUUUGAACGGCUUUUUCCGCUGACCGGAUUUGGAUCCGCUGAAUUCGGUGUUGACUGCCGUGUCUUCAGUGUUGUCGCUGUUGUUCUGUUGCUUAUGUCUGUUGCGCCGUGGCUUGCCGUUAUUGUCGCGGACAUCCGAGGUGCCGGAAUGUGGCGUGGUGCUACUGCGAGCUAACCAGUUAUCCUCGCCUACGCAAAAGCGGGUCAUCAGUGUCGUGAGGGCCGCCAUGGACUUGGUUUUUCCUGGCCAAGGUGUCGGGCGAGCCACUCGUAAUGGAUAUAAUGCUUAAAGGCCGCCACAGCUUCGGCGUCCAGACAGUCGACUAUUUGGUUCGUUUUAGUUAGGAAGCGAGUCUAGAAUUUCUUGGCUGACUCUCCGGGCUGUUGAGUAAUGUGGCUCAAGUCAUUGGCGUCUGGUGGUCGCUCGUAUGUGCCCUGGAAGUUGUCGAGGAACGCAUCUUCCAGGUUUUCACAACUUCCAAUGGAAUUUGCCGGCAGGCUAUUUAGCCAGUGUCGGGCAGGUCCUUUGAGCUUAAGGGGAAGAUAUUUGAUGGCGUGUAGAUCGUCUCUGUGAGCCAUGUGAAUGUGGAGAAGGAAAUCUUCGAUCCAUACUGCGAGGUCUAUUGUGCGAUCGUAUGAUUCGAUGUUUACGGGUUUGAACACUUCUGGGAAUUCAUGAUCCAUCACUUCAUCAGUGAAGCAGAGGGGGUGUGCGGCGCCUCUAUGACGGGCUAUGUGGCUACGCAGUUCGAAUGAGUCUGGGUGGCUGUAUUCGGCCCAGCCGGACUUGUUCAUAGUGUAUCUGGCGUGACGAUCAUCGUCGCGUGUUGGGGCCCGCCCCCGCAAUCCGUAGAUCAAUCUUGGAUGUCCUGCUAUGUUUUCCAGAAUAUCUUGCAGGUCUUGCCUAUUGCCCCGGGCCGUAGUGUAUUGGCGUGGGGGUGCGGCCUAGUAUUCGGGUUGAUAUGUUGUUUUAUCCCAGCCACGAGGUGGCCGGUCAGCCGUGUGGCGCUCGAGUCCAUAUUCCUCAGCUGCCAGGACUUCAGUCCAUUUGUCUGUGAGCAGGUCUUGAUCAGCUUGGAGCUGAUGCUGCUUCUUUUUCAGGCUCCUCGCAGUGGCCAUGAGCCGGCGCUUAAAGCGCUCCUGCUCCACGGGGUCCUCAGGCACGCCGAACUCGUCGUCGCCAAGGCUAAUCUCGUCUUCGGAGGGGGCAUGUAGUUGUCCUCCUCCGGAUAUCCAUCCGUCGCCUGUUCGUCUGGGCUGACCUGCCCGUCUUCCUGCUCGGCCUGCUCGAAGGCAGGCUGAUCAGGGUUGUAUUCAUCUUCGGCACCAUCCGGAUUGUUUUCGUCUCCUGUGCCGGUAUUGCUGUGGCGGGGCUUGGAGUGGCACCGAUGACGCCCAUGCUUUGCUUUCUUCCCUGAGGGAUUAUCCUCCGUUGCCUCAUUGCCAUUGGUUUCCUUCGGAGAGUCCACCAUAUAUAUAUCAUAUGAGGAGGUGGCUGUCCACCGCCCCGUGAGCGGUGGUUCCUGUUCUUCUCCUGCAUCAUCAUCCAUACCGUCGAUGUCUUCGGAGUCGAAGUCAAGCACGUCAGUUAAAUAAUUGACCGUGGCAAUGAAGUGGGUGGUGGGUGGGCAACGAAUUCCUUCAUCGCCUGCUUCCCACUCGAGCCGGACAUAGUUCAGCCAAGAGUCUCCUGACAAAGAGAGAGACUUUAAUGAGUUCAGCACGUCGCCAAAGGGCGAGUGCUGGAAGAUAUCCGCAGCGGUGAACUCCAUUACCGGAGCCCAACCAGGUUCGGCGGGCUCGGGAGCACGCGUAUUGGAACCUAUAGCCGGAUACGAGUCCGGGGGUCCGGUGUCAUAGGCUUAUUUCGGGGUGAGGCCUAUGUUCGGCUCUACCACCGAUGAGUGUACGGCCUGCGGGGCGGGGUCCAUCCACCUGUCCUUGGGCAACGCAAUCUGCUCCGGAUUUAGGUCCGGGGCUCCUGCAGGGGCGAUAUCCCGAGCAUUGUCCGACAGCAGGUCUAAGCCAUGCUCAUCGUGAUUGUCCGGCGCUCUUGGCGCAGGCCCGAACCCGUUGAAGAUCAAGUCUCCGCGGAUAUCUGUCGUGUAGUUCAGGUUUCCGAAUCUGACCUGGUGGCCAGGGGCGUAGCUGUCGAUCUGCUCCAGUUGGCCAAGCGAAUUGGCCCGCAGUGCGAAGCCGCUGAACACGAAGAUCUGUCCGGGGAGAAAAGUCUCACCCCGGACCGUGUUGUUGACGAUUGAAGGAGCCAUCAAGCCUUGCAGCGACGACAGAGAGGAACUCUCAAUGAAAGCACCAAUGUCGGUGUCAAAACCGGCGGCUCUCGGGUAGGGGGUCCCGAUCUGUGCGUCUUAGGCUAAUGGUAACAGGAGGCAAGGGACACAAUGUUUACCCAGGUUCGGGCCCUCUCGAUGGAGGUAAAACUCUACUUCUUGCUUGAUUGAUAUAGAUGAUAUGGGUAUUACAAGAGUUGAUCUACCACGAGAUCGUAGAGGCUAAACCCUAGAAGCUAGCCUAUGAUGAUUAUGAUUGUGAUCGUCCCUCUGAGGACUAAACCCUUCGGUUUAUAUAUACACCGAAGGGGGCUAGGAUUUCCACGGAGUCGAUUACAAAGAAGGAAAUAUAAUAUCCGGAUCGCCAAGCUUGUCUUCCACGCAAAGGAGAGUCCCAUCCGGACACGGGGCGGAGUCUUGAGUCCUGUAUCUUCACGGUCCAACAGUCCGGCCAAAGUAUAUAGUUCGGCUGUCCGGAUACCCCCUAAUCCAGGACUCCCUCAGUAGUCGGAUCAUAACACAUAAUAGGUUACUAUAGACUUGCAAGAUAGUAUCAAGAACUCACACAUAUUCAUGAAAACAUAAUAGGUCUAGAUCUGAAAUCAUGGCACUCGGGCCCUAGUGACAAGCAUUAAGCAUAGCAAAGUCACAGCAACAUCAAUCUCAGAACAUAGUGGAUACUAGGGAUCAAACCCUAACAGAACUAACUUGAUUACAUGGUAAAUCUCAUCCAACCCAUCACCGUCCAGCAAGCCUACGAUGGAAUUACUCAUGCACGGCGGUGAGCAUCAUGAAAUUGGUGAUGGAGGAUGGUUGAUGAUGACGACGGCGAGGAAUCCCCCUCUCCGGAGCCCCGAACGGACUCCAGAUCAGCCCUCCCGAGAGAGAUUAGGGCUUGGUGGCGGCUCCGUAUCGUAAAACGCGAUGAAACUUUCUCUCUGAUUUUUUCUCCGUGAAACAAAAUAUAUAGAGUUGGAGUUGAGGUCGAUGGAGCAUCAGGGAGCCCAUGAGACAGGGGGCGCGCCCAGGGGGAGGGCGCGCCCCUCACCCUCGUGGACAGGUUGUGGGCCCCCUGGCCUUGAUUCUUUCGCCAGUAUUUUUCAUAUUUUCCAAAAGUUAUCUCCGUGGAUUUUCAGGUCAUUCCGAGAACUUUUGUUUUCUGCACAAUAAACAACACCAUGGCAGUUUUGCUAAAACCAGCGCCAGUCCGGGUUAGUUUCAUUCAAAUCAUGCAAGUUAGAGUCCAAAACAAAGGCAAAAGUGUUUGGAAAAGUAGAUACCUUGGAGACGUAUCAACUCCCCCAAGCUUAAACCUUUGCUUGUCCUCAAGCAAUUCAGUUGAUAAACUGAAAGUGAUAAAGAAAAACUUUUACAAACUCUAUUUGCUCUUGUUGUUGUAAAUAUGUAAAGCCAGCAUUCAAGUUUUCAGCAAAGAUUAUGAACUAACGAUACUCACGAUAACACUUAGGUCUCACAUUUACUCAUAUCAAUGGCAUAAUCAGCUAGCGAGCAAUAAUAAUAAAACUCGGAUGACAACACUUUCUCAAAAUAAUCAUAAUAUGAUAUAACAAGAUGGUAUCUCGCUAGCCCUUUCUGAGACCACAAAACAUAAAUGCAGAGCACCUUUAAAGAUCAAGGACUGACUAGACAUUGUAAUUCAUGGUAAAAGAGAUCAAUUCAAGUCAUACCCAAUAUAAACUAAUAGUAAUGAAUGCAAAUGACAGUGUGCUCUCCAGUGGGUGCUUUUUAAUAAGAAGGUGAUGACUCAACAUAAAAGUAAACAGACAGGCCCUUCGCAGAGGGAAGCAGGGAUUUGUAGAGGUGCCAGAGCUUGAUUUUAAAAUAGAGAUGAAUAACAUUUUGAGCGGCAUACUUUCACUAUCAACGCAACAACUAUGAGAUGGCGAUAUCUUCCAUACGACAUGCAUUAUAGGCGGUUCCCAAACGGAAUGGUAAAAAAUUAUACUCCCCCACCACCAACAAGCAUCAAUCCAUGGCUUGCUCGAAACAAUGAGUUCCUCCAACUAAUAACAACCCUGGGGUAGUUUUGUUUAAUUAUAUUGAUUUUCUUUGAUCUUUUGGAUCAUGGGACUGGGCAUCCCGGUUACCAGCCAUUUUCUCGUGAAUGAGGAGCGGAGUCCACUCCUCUUGAGAAUAACCCACCUAGCAUGGAAGAUAUAGACAGCUCUAGUUCAAACAUGAGCUGCUCGAGCAUACAAAACAAAAUUUCAUUUGAAGGUUUGGAGUGUGGCACAUACAAAUUUACUUGGAACGGCGGGUAGAUACCGCAUAUAGGAAGGUAUGGUUGACUCAUAUGGAACAACUUUGGGGUUUAUGGAGUGUGGAUGCACAAGCAGUAUUCCCGCUUAGUAUAGGUGAAGGCUAGCAAAAGACUGGGAGGUGACCAACUAAGAGAGCGACAACAUUCAUGAACAUGCAUUAAAAUUAAUUUACGCCAAGUACAAGCAUGAGUAGGAUAUAAUCUACCAUGAACAUAAAUAUCAUGAAGGAUAUGUUGAUUUGUUUCAACUACAUGCGUGAACAUGUGCCAAGUCGAGUCACUCAAUUCAUUCAAAGGAGGAUACCAUCCCAUCAUACCAUAUCACAAUCAUUUUAAUAGCAUGUUAGCACGCAAGGUAAACCAUUAUAACUCAUAGCUAAUCAAGCAUGGCACAAGUAACUAUAAUCUCUAAAUGUCAUUGCAAAUAUGUUUACUUCAUAAUAGGCUGAAUCAGUAAUGUGAACUCAUCAUAUUUACAAAAACAAAAGAGGUCGAGUUCAUACCAGCUUUUCUCAUCUCAAUCAGUCCAUCAUAUAUCGCCAUUAUUGCCUUUCACUUGCACGAUCGAACGAUGUGUAUGAUAAUAAUAGUGCACGUGCAUUGGACUAAGCUGGAAUCUGCAAGCAUUCAACUCAAGAGAUAAGACAAAGUAAUAUGGGCUCUAAUUUAAAUAAACAAUCAUGCAAAUGAGAGCCUUAAACAUUUUCCAUAUGGUCUUCUACUCUCGACCCCCAAAGGAAAGAAAAUAAAACUAUUUACACAGGAAAGCUCCCAACAAGUAAAAGAAGAACAAGAAAUAUUUUGGGGUUUUCAUUUUAAUUUCUACUACAAGCAUGGAAAUUAAACUAACUAAUUUUUUUUGGUUUUUCUUAAGGUUUAUCAAACACACAAGAAGAAAGCUAGAAAAAGAAAUUAAACUAGCAUGGAUAAUACAAUGAAAGAGUAUGAGCACCGACGACUAGAAUAGUGUGUGAACAUGAAUGUAAAGUCGGUGAGAAAUGCGUACUCCCCCAAGCUUAGGCUUUUGGUCUAAGUUGGUCUAAUGCCAAGGAUAGCCUGGCUGAUAUCCGUAGUUAUAACUGGGAUCGUACUAAGAUGCAGCAGCAAAUGCAUCCUGAGCUGCGGCAUGUUGGCGAGCCGCCUCCGCUCUCCCUUCAUAUUCACCUGCCUCCUCCCUGGUAACAACAUAUCUUCAUUUUGCCUGGUAAUCAAAAAGGGAAGGAGCAGGGAAAGUAACAUGGACAGCGCUACGUCUGUCAAAGAUUAGUCGAUAUUGUAGGAAUUGUUCAUUCCUCAAAAGAAAAUGAUGUUUGACCAUCGCGUCAUAAUCUAAAUAAGCAGGAAGCAACUCCAUAUCCCCCUCUCGUGGGGCUAUACCAAGGUAAUUAGCAACACGGGUCACAUAAAUCCCUCCAAAUAAAUCUCUGGAUAUACCAUUAUUAUGCAACCUACAUACAACUAUUGCCCCCAAGUUGUAAUCUUUAUUACCUAACACAGCACUCUUCAGAACACAAAGAUCAGAGACACACAUGUGACAUUCUUCAUCUUUACCAUUAAUGCAUCUACCAAUGAGGAGAGCAAAAUAGUGUAUAGCAGGAAAAUGAAUGCUCCCUAUGGUAGCUUGUGCUAUAUCCCUAGAUUCUCCCACAGUAAUACUAGCAAGAAAGUCUUUAUAUUCAGAUCUGUGGGGGUCAUUAACAUCACCCCACCGCGGGAGUUUGCAAGCAGUUGUAAAAUCUUCUAAGUCCAUGGUAUAAGAUUCAUCAUAAAUAUCAAACAGGACACUUUGAGAAUUACGCGAAGAUUUAUAUUUAAACCUUCUUAUGAAUGAAUCAGUCAAUAGAUAGUACUGAGGACACUUAUCUUGUAAGAAGUCCUCCAGAUCGGCAUUAAGCAAAUAUGCGUCAAAUUCAUCCUUAAAGCCUGCUUUGACCAUAAACUCGUCUGAUGGCCACUCACAAGCUCGCACUUUGGCAUCCCUUGGUGGUUCAUCGUCUUGCUCACGCAUAGCAUGCAUGGGUCCUUUCUAUGUUGAGGAAACACCUUGGUACAUUCUCCUAGACAUAUUUUUCUCUGAAAAAUUUCUGAAAUUUUUAGUAACUUCAAAAUAAAAGUGAAUAAAACUAAACAAGAUUGGUAGCAACUACUCCUACAAGUGCCUAGAGCCUAUAUCAUGCAUUAGAAUUACUUGGGACCUCAUAAAUUUGACAUGCAAGCUCAAGAACAGGGGAACCUAUGCAGCAAAAUUUUGCAAUGAAUAAAGCACUAGAACAAAGACUAAUUGGACCAAUGGAGGAGUCACAUACCAAGCAACAAUCUCCCAAAGCAGUUUUGUGAAUGGAGCUUUGAGCAAGGAGAUCGAAAAUCGCAGCAAAAUGAGCUAGAACUCCUGCUUGAGCUGGAUGGGGAUUUUUUUGGGAAGAAGAUAGAGUGUGUGGGUGCAGGAAUAAGUGGAGGGGGCCACCGUGGGCCCAUGAGACAGGGGGGCACGCCCAGGAGGUGUGGGCGUGCCCUCCACCCUCGUGGCCAGGUGCUUGCCCCCUGCAGUGUUUUCAGUGCCUAAAAUCCUCAAAUAUUCCAUAAAAAAUCGUACUAAAUUUGCAGGGCAUUUGGAGCACUUUUAUUUUUGGGAUAUUUUUUUAUUGCACGGAUAAUUCAGAAAACAGACAGAUAAUACUAUUUUUGCCUUUUUAUUCUAAAUAACAGGAAGUAAUAAAGGGUACAGAAGGUUGUGCCUUCUAGUUUCAUCCAUCUCAUGAUCACCAAAAUGAAUCCACUAACAAGGUUGAUCAAGUCUUAUUAGCAAACUCAUUCCGAAUAACACGGAACUGUAGAAAUUUCGGAUAACACUAAGUUACCUCAACGGGGAUAUGAACAUCCCCAACAAUAAGAAUAUCAUACUUUUUCUUGACAGUAGGAAGAGGAAAUUCAAAACCUCCAAUAAUGAUAGUUGGACUUUUUCCAGUAGAAUUGAUACUAUGAACUUGAGGUUGUUUCCUCGGAAAGUGUACCGUAUGCUCGUUACCAUUAAUAUGAAAAGUGACAUUGCCUUUGUUGCAAUCAAUAACAAUCCCUGCAGUAUUCAAAAAGGGUCUACCAAGGAUAAUCGACAUACUAUCAUCCUCGGGAAUAUCAAGAAUAACAAAGUCCGUUAAGAUAGUGACAUUAGCAACCACAACAAGCACAUCCUCACAAAUACCGACAGGUAUAGCAGUUGAUUUAUCGGCCAUUUGCAAAGAUAUUUCAGUAGGUGUCAACUUAUUCAAUUCGAGUCUACGAUAUAAAGAGAGAGGCAUAACACUAACACCGGCUCCAAGAUCACAUAAAGCAGUUCUAACAUAAUUUCUUUUAAUGGAGCAAGGUAUAGUUGGUACCCCUGGAUCUCCAAGUUUCUUUGGUAUCCCACCCUUAAAAGUGUAAUUAGCAAGCAUGAUGGAAAUUUCAGCUUUCGGUAUCUUUAUUUUGUUUGUAAUGAUAUCCUUCAUAUAUUUAGCAUAAGGAUUUACUUUAAGCAUAUCAGUCAAGCGCAUACGUAAGAAGAUAGGUCUAAUCAUUUCAGCAAAGUGCUCAAAAUUCUCAUCAUCCUUUGUCUUGGAUGGUUUAGGAGGAAAAGGCAUGGGUUUCUGAACCCAGGGUUCUCUCUCUCUACCGUGCUUCCUAGCAACAAAAUCUCUCUUAUCAUAACGUUGAUUCUUUGAUUGUGGGUUAUCAAGAUCAACAGCAGGUUCAAUUUCUACCUCAUUGUUUUUGCUAGGUUGAGAAUCAACAUGAACAUUAUCAUUAACAUUAUCACUAGGUUCAUGUUCAUCACCUGAUUGUGUUUCAGCAUCAAAAAUAGAAAUAUCAUUGGGAUUCUCAGGUGUGUCUACAACAGGUUCACUAGAAGCAUGCAAAGUCCUAUCGUUUUUCUUUUUCUUCUUUUUAGAAGAACUAGGUGCCUCUAAAUUAUUUGUCUGAGAAUCCUGCUCGAUUCUCUUAGGGUGGCCUUCAGGAUACAAAGGUUCCCGAGUCAUUCUACCAGUUCUAGUAGCCACUCUAACAGCAAAGUCAUGUUUAUUAUUUAAUUCAUCAAGCCAAUCACUUUGAGCUUUAAAUACUUGCUCACCUUGAGUGGUAACCAUAGAAGCAUAUUUGCUAAUGAGUUUAAGUUCACCUUUAACUCUAGCCAUAUAAUCACUCAAGCGUCCUAUUUCUAAAGCAUUAUUCUUUCAUUCUCUACCAACAUAAGCAUUAAAACUUUCUUGUCUAGCCAUAAAGUCAUCAAAUUCAUCUAAGCAUGGGCUAUGAAAUUUAGUAGAAGGAAUUUCAACGUUAUCAUAUCUAUAGAGAGAAUUUACCUUUACUACCUGUGUCGGGUUAUCAAAACAAUGUGGUUCUUCAACAGGCAGUAUAUUAAGACCGUGUAUUUCUUCAAUAGGAGGUAAAUUCUUAACAUCUUCAGCUUUAAUACCUUUUUCUUUCAUUGAUUUCUUUGCCUCUUGCAUAUCUUCUGGACUGAGAAAUAGGCUGAGGAGUUGGCUCAAUUGGCUCAGGGAUUGCCUCAGGAAUUGGCUCAGGAAUUGGUUGAGGAAGAGUCCAGUUAUUUUCAUUAGUCAACAUACUAGUCAAUAGUAAUUCAGCUUGGACGACUGUUCUUUCCCUGAAAACACAACCAGCACAACUAUCCAAGUAGUCCUUCGAAGCAUCGGUUAGUCCAUUAUAAAAGAUAUCAAGUAUUUCAUUUUUCUUAAGAGGAUGAUCACGCAAAGCAUUAAGUAAUCGGAGAAGCCUCCCCCAAGCUUGUGGGAGACUCUCUUCUUCGAUUUGCACAAAAUUAUAUAUUUCCCGCAAGGCAGCUUGUUUCUUAUAAGCAGGGAAAUAUUUAGCAGAGAAGUAAUAAAUCAUAUCAUGGGGACUACGCACACAACCAUGAUCAAGAGAAUUAAACCAAGUUUUAGCAUCACCCUUUAAUGAGAACGGAAAUAUCUUAAGGAUAUAAUAAUAGCGAGACUUCUCAUCAUUAGUAAACUGGGUGGCUAUAUCAUUUAACUUGGUAAGAUGUGCCACAAUAGUUUCAUAUUCAAGGCCAUAAAAAGGAUCAGAUUCAACCAAAGUAAUUAUUUUAGGAUCAACAGAGAAUUCAUAAUCCUUAUCAGUAACACAGAUAGGUGAAGUAGCAAAAGCGGGGUCAGGUUUGAUUCUAGCAUUAAGAGAUUGCUGCUUCCAUUUAGCUAAUAACUUCUUAAGAUCAUAUCUAUCUUUGCAAGCAAAAAUAGCUCUAGCAACUUCCUCAUCCAUAACAUAACCCUCAGGAACAACAGGUAAUUCAUAAUCAGGGGGAGAACUUUCAUCAUCACUAUCAUCAAUAAUAGCAUCUUCAAUAAUUUCAUUCUCUCUAACCCUAGCAAGUUGUUCAUCAAGAAAUUCACCUAAUGGCAAAGUAGUAUCAUGCACAGAAGUAGUUUCAUCAUAAGUAUCAUGCAUAGCAGAAGUGGCAUCAUCAAUAACAUGCGACAUAUCAGAAUUCAUAGCAGUAGCAGGUUUAGGUCUCGCAAGCUUACUCAAAACAGAAGGAGAAUCUAGUGCAGAGCUAGAUGGCAGUUCCUUACCUCCCCUCGUAGUUGAGGGAAAAAUCUUAGUUCUUUUGUCUUUCAAGUUCCUCAUAGUGACCAGCAGAUAUAAAUCCCAAGUGACUCAGAGAAUAGAGCUAUGCUCCCCGGCAACGGCGCCGGAAAUUAGUCUUGAUAACCCACAAGUGUAGGGGAUCGCAAUAGCUUUCGAGGGUAGAGUAUUCAACCCAAAUUUAUUGAUUCGACACAAGGGGAGCCAAAGAAUAUUCUUAAGUAUUAGCAGUAGAGUUGUCAAUUCAACCACACCUGGAUAACUUAGUACCUGCAGAAAAGUAUUUAGUAGCAAAGUAGUAUGAUAGUAAUGGUAACAGUGGCAAAAGUAAAGAUAAUAGUUUUGUAGUAGGUGUAUCAGUGAUGGAUAAUUAUGUCGGAUGUGAUUCCUCAUGUAAUAGCUAUAACAUAGGGUGACACAGAACUAGCUCUAGUUCAUCAAUGUAAUGUAGGCAUGUAUUCUGAAUAUAGUCAUACGUGCUUAUGGAAAAGAACUUGCAUGAUAUCUUUUGUCCUACCCUCCCGUGGCAGCGGGGUCCUAGUGGAAACUAAGGGAUAUUAAGGCCUCCUUUUAAUAGAGAACCGUAAUAAAGCAUUAGCACAUAGUGAAUACAUGAACUCCUCAAACUAUGGUCAUCACCGAGAAGUAUCCCGAUUAUUGUCACUUCGGGGUUGUCGGAUCAUAACACAUAAUAGGUGACUAUAGACUUGCAAGAUAGGAUCAAGAACUCACAUAUAUUCAUGAAAACAUAAUAGGUUCAUAUCUGAAAUCAUGGCACUCGGGCCCUAGUGACAAGCAUUAAGCAUAGCAAAGUCAUAGCAACAUCAAUCUCAGAACAUAGUGGAUACUAGGGAUCAAACCCUAAUAAAACUAACUUGAUUACAUGGUAAAUCUCAUCCAACCCAUCACCGUCCAGCAAGCCUGCGAUGGAAUUACUCAUGCAUGGCGGUGAGCAUCAUGAAAUUGGUGAUGGAGGAUGGUUCAUGAUGACGACGGCGACAAAUCCCCCUCUCAGGAGCCCCGAACGGACUCCAGAUCAGCCCUCCUGAGAGAGAUUAGGGCUUGGCGGCGGCUCCGUACCAUAAAACGCGAUGAAACUUUCUCUUUGAUUUUUUUCUCCGUGAAACGGAAUAUAUAGAGUUGGAGUUGAGGUCGGUGGUGCAUCAGGGAGCCCAUGAGAUAAGGGGGUGCGCCCCCCACCCUCGUGGACAGGGUGUGGGCCCCCUGGCCAUGAUUCUUUCGCCAGUAUUUUUUAUAUUUUCCAAAAGUUAUCUCCAUGGAUUUUCAAGUCAUUCCGAGAACUUUUGUUUUCUGCACAAUAAACAACACCAUGGCAGUUCUGCUGAAAACAGCGUCAGUCCGGGUUAGUUUCAUUCAAAUCAUGCAAGUUAGAGUCCAAAACAUGGGCAAAAGUGUUUUGAAAAGGAGAUACAUUGGAGACGUAUCAAUGGGUUCGUAAGUUGCACUAAUUCAUCUGCAGGAUGAACAACCUAAAGCUACUGAGUGGGUCCUCGAUAGUGGAUGUACAAACCACAUGACCGGUGACAGGAACUUGUUCAUGGACACUGAUUUGUCACCAUCUCAUCUAAAGCAUAUCACCUAAGCUGGCAAAGGCAAAAGCAAGGUAUUGGGUCUAGGUAAGGUUGCGAUCUCAAAGGAUAGACACAUGGACAAAGUCGUGCUUGUCGAGUCCUUAGGAUUCAACCUCAUGUCUAUCUCAAUGCUUUGUGAUCUUGAUAUGGUUGUCGUCUUUGGCAAAUAUCGUUGCAUUUUGCUAAUGGAAACUGACAAAUCCAAAGUCUUCGAAGGCUUUAGUAAAGGAGACUUGUAUAUUGUUGAUUUCUCUGCAGGACCACAGCCUACCACAUAUCUACUUGCAAAAGCUUCGGAAUGCUGGCUAUGUCAUCAACGACUUGGUCAUGCUGGGAUGAGGAACUUGCAUACACCCGCAAAGAAGAAGCAUGUCAUUGGCAUCGAGGGUGUGAAAUUCCUCAAAGAUCAUCUUUGUGGGGCUUGUGAGGCUGGAAAGAUCACUAGACCCAAGCAUCCCUCAAAGACUAUCAUGACCACUUCUCGUCCCUUUGAAUUACUUCAUAUGGAUCUCUUUGGCCCUACUCAUUAUGCCAUGUUCUCUAGUUCUGCAUCAUUAUAUGGCUUUGUCUUUCUCGUUACAUAUGGGUGCAUAUCAUCACUUACAAAAAUGAAGUGCAGGAAGUCUUCAGAUGAUUUUCCUCAAGAGCUUCUACUAACUUCGGUGUGAAGAUCAAGCAUAUCAGGACUGAUAAUGGAACUGAGUCCAAGAACACUAGUCUCGAUGAAUAUCUUGAUAUACUUGGUAUUACUCAUGAGUUAUCUGCUCCCUAUACUCCUCAGCAGAAUGGCAUCAUGGAGCGCAAGAACAGAACUCUUGUUGAGAUGGCUCACACCAUGCUUGAUGAAUACAAGACACCACAGCGCUUUUGGCCUGAAGCUAUUGAUACUGCAUGCCACAUCAUCAAUAGGGUAUAUCUUCACAACUUCUUCAAAAAGACCUCUUAUGAACUCCUCACUAACAAGAAACCCAAUGUAAGUUAUUUUGAAGUCUUCGGUGCUAAAUGCCGGAUUAGAGAUCCACAUCAUCACUCUAAAUUUGCACCGAAAGCACAUGAGGGUUUUAUGCUUGGUUACACGAAAGGACUCGCACACCUACAGAGUCUUUAACACCGUUCACCACAAGGUUGUUGAAACUGUAGAUGUGCAGUUCGAUGAAACUAAUGGCUCGCAAAGAGAGCACCUACCUCCUAUGCUAGAUGAAACUUCUCCAGAGGAAUCCAUUAAGUUCAAGGCUACUGAGGAUGUCAUUCCUACCGAAGAAUAUGCUAAAGAAGUCAUACCAGAAUGUGAAGAAUCUCAUGCUGGUGCACCUGAGGAAAAUGGCUCUGAAGAAAAUUCUGAGCCCAAUGAACGUCGUCCACCUGCUCAUCCUCGCGUUGCAAAUGAAGUGCAGAUCGAGAAAAUCAUCAACGACAUCAAUGCACCAGGUCCUCUCACAAGCUCAAGGGCUUCUCAUUUGUCUAACUUUUGUGGGCACUUAUAUUUUGUCUCUAUCAAAGAGCCCACCAAAGUAGAUGAGGCAUUUCUGGAGCUUGAGUGGAUUCAAGCAAUGCAAGAGGAAUUACAUCAGUUCGAGCUCAACAAUGGCUGGGAACUUGUCAAGCAACCAGACCCACGCAAGCACAAUAUCAUUGGCACCAAAUGGAUCUACCGCAACAAACAGGUUGAAAAUGGCUUUGUGGUGAGGAAUAAGGCUUGGCUUGUAGCUCAAGGCUACACACAGGUUGAAAGAAUUGAUUUGAUGAAACUUUUGCACCUGUUGCUAGACUUGAGGCUAUUCGCAUAUUGCUUGCUUAUGCUAACCAUCAUAAUAUCAUAUUAUAUCAAAUGGAUGUGUAAAGUGCAUUCCUCAAUGGUAACCUUGAGGAAGAAGUAUAUGUUGCUCAACCCACAGGUUUUGAAGAUCCAAAGCAUCCUGACAAUGUCUUCAGACUCAACAAGGCCCUCUAUGGCCUCAAGCAGGCCCCUUGUAACGCCCUCGAUGCGGCUAUAUCUCCCACGUGUCGAAGCACGACUUAGAGGCAUAACCGCAUUGAAAGCAAUGUCGCAAGUGAGGUAAUCUUCACACAACCCAUGUAAUACAUAAGGGAAAGAGAUACAUAGUUGGCUUACAAUCGCCACUUCACACAAUUACAUGAAUAAAGCAUUACAUCAUCCAGAUACAAUCAAGGUCCGACUACGGAACCAAAAUAAAAGAAGAACCCCAAAUGCGACAAAGGUCCCCGAUCGACCCCAACUGGGCUCCACUACUGAACAACUAGAACGGAAACAACACAAAGGACAAGAUCUUCAUCGAGCUCCUCCUUGAGCUUGGUUGCGUCAUCUGCACGGUAACAUAGGCACCUGCAAACUGGUUUUGGAAGUAUCUAUGAGCCACGGGGACUCAGCAAUCUCGCACCCGCGAGAUCAACACUAUUUAAGCUUAUAGGAAGGAUGGAGUAAUGAGGUGGAGCUGCAGCAAGCGACUAGCAUAUAUGGUGGCUACAAUCGCAAAAGAGAGCGAGAAGAGAGGGCAAAGCACGGUCGAUAAAAGUAUGAUCAAGAAGUGAUCCUAUAGCAACCUACGUCAAGCAUAACUCCAACACCGUGUUCACUUCCCGGACUCCGCCGAGAAGAGACCAUCACGGUUACACACGCGGUUGAUGUAUUUUAAAUAAGGUCAACUUCGGGUUUUCUACAACCGGACGUUAACAAAUUCCCAUCUGCCCAUAACCGCGGGCAUGGCUUUCGAAAGAUAAUACCCUGCAGGGGUGUCCCAACUUAGCCCAUGACAAGCUCUCACGGUCAACGAAGGAAUAGACCUCCACCCGAGACACUCCGAUCAGACUCGGUAUCCCGGUACAACAAGACAUUUCGACAGGGUAAAACUAAACCAGCAACACCGCCCUAAUGUGCCGACAAAUCCCGAUAUGAGCUGCACAUAUCUCUUUCUCAGGGCACACUCAGAUGAGCAAUCCGUACAACUAAAACCAAACCUCGAGUUUCCCCGAGGGGGCGCUGCACAGGGCUCUAGUUCGGACCAACACUCAGAGGAGCACUGGCCCGGGGGGGGGGUUCGAAUAAAGAUGACCCUUGAGUCUGCAGAACCCAAGGGAAGGUGGUAGGUUGUUAGUGCAAAUGGUAAAACGAAUGUUGGGCAUUGCUGGAAGAGCUUUACUUAAGGCGAACUGUCAAGGGGUUCCCAUUAUAGCCCAACCGUGUAAGGAACGCAAAAUCCGGGAACAUAACACCGAUAUGACGGAAACUAGGGCGGCAAGAGUGGAACAAAACACCAGGCAUAAGGCCGAGCCUUCCACCCUUUACCAAGUAUAUAGAUGCAUUAAUUAAAUAAGAUAUAUUGUGAUAUCCCAACCAGUAAACAUGUUCCAACAAGGAACAACAUCUCCAUGUUCCAACAAGGAACAAACUUCAAUCUUCACCUGCAACUAACAACGCUAUAAGAGGGGCUAAGCAAAGCGGUAACAUAGCCAAACAACGGUUUGCUAGGACAUGGUGGGUUAGAGGUUUGACAUGGCAAUUUGGGAGGCUGACAAGCAAAUGGUAGGCAUCGUAGCAUUGGCAUAGCAAAAGAGCGAGCAAACUAGCAUAGCAAAGAUAGUAGUGAUUUUGAGGGUAUGAUCAUCUUGCCUGAAAUCCCGCAAGGAAGAAGAACGAGUCCAAGAAGAAGACAAACGGUCGUAGACGAACAAAUCCUCACAACUCCGGAACGAAACCGAAGCUAACGAGAGAAGCAACCCGGAAAGAAACAAACAACAUAGUAAACAAACAAGCAUAAACAAGUCAUGAUGCACAAACAAGUAUGAUGCAUGUCCGGUUUAAUGAGGCAUGGCAUGACAAAGUGCACAAACAAUCCUACAAAUUAAAUGGAGCUCAAUAUGCAACUGCAUAUUGACGAAACACCACGAUAAGUUAUUUAGUUUGAUCCCGUUUAUGUACCCAACAAUAUUAAAUAUUGUUAAGCAUGGCAAGAGGUGAAGCAUAAUAUAAACUAUACCAUCUAAACAAUUUAAAUGGGGCCAGAUAUAAAAACAACAAAUCCGGUAAUUCCCCAUAUGCAUUUAGCAAUUUAAUGCAACAACAAGUUUAAACAUUUUAAAUGUUGUUAUCAUGAUGCGGAUGACAUAUACAAGUUUUAUGCAAUUUUAUGAAAAUGUUGACAUGAGCAUGUUAUGAAGCAUUAGUCGCCAUGGCGGAAUGAAAAGGGUGCCACGGCGGCGAAACAGAAAUGGUGCCACGGCAACAUAUCGGUCCGGUAACUUGAUUGAGAUACCAAUGCAAACGAGAAGUGUGCGGAAGUGCGCAACAUGCUAGAGAUGGUGGGGUGCUCCCGACUACCGGGUUCCCACGGGUUAGUGGCAUGGCAAACGAGGAGGAACGUGCAAGGAACAACUCGGACAUGGUGCAAACAUGGGCAUCUCAUACAACCCACAUUCGUUCUCGGAAGGUUGUCUCGGGGUUAUACCUUUGAAGCGUGCAUUUUCGAAGCGAAUCGGUUCGGAGGGGAAGUAGUCGUUCUCGCGACGGUAGUGGAAGUAGUUGUACUCGGCCGUAGCGGAAGUAGACGUUCUCGCGACGGUAGUGGAAGUAGUGGUACACGGCGACGGUAGUUGUACACGGUUCGUAGAUGUUCGGGUCGACAGUAGUGGUUCAUGUUUCGGAGAGGAACUUGACGCCCAUGGGUCGACGGUAGAGGUACUUGACGCAACAUGUAGUCGAACUUGGCAUAUCCGAAGGGGUACUUGACGAAAUCCACAUCGAAUGCAGUCGUGCACGUCGUAGUCGGACUUGACAAAAAUCACACCGGCUGUAGUCGAAGUACUUGGCGUGCAUCCACUGUUGACCAACAGUGUACAGGAGGCAGCAAGGCAUGGCCGACUUGGUGUGCAACCAAAGAUGGACUCCGGGCAUCUGGGUUGACUUGGCCACGACAAAGGCAGCAAGGCCAACGGGGCAGCCAGCUCGUCUUGGAGGGGAGCCCUAUCGGACAGAGCAGCUCGAGGACAUCCGCGGCUCACGAGGCACCAACAGCAGCAGGACGAGGCAUGAAAAAAUGACAGCACGACAACCAUGAAGGAGGCGCACGUGGUCGUGGUGGCUCGGGCAGAAGGCCACGGAGGAGCGACGGGGAUGCAGACUAGGCAGGAGGCGGCGGAGACAUGGCCAUCGAUGCGCGACCGUUUGGAGGUGGGGCUCCACGUAGCUGCGGCUGCUCCCAGCCGAAGCUCGGGCCUCCAUGCUGUCGAGACGCGGCACAGGGAGAUGGAAGGAUGGAUGGGCGCGACGGAGGGCAGCAGUCCGGCGACGGAGCAGAGGCAAAGCAGGGUCGAGGCAGGGGUGAUGCGGAGGACCUCGGCGUCCAGGGCGGCAUCCAUGGCGGGGCGGCGCUGAGUCGAGGCGCUCGGGCUGCAGGAGGCGAACGGCGGAGGGAGGCGAUGGCGACGCGGGGGAGAAGGAAGGGCGAGGUGGAGGCACACAGGAGGGGAAGGAGGAGAUCGAGGAGAGGGCCUCCUCUGGCGGCGCGAGGGAGGAGAGGGAGAGGGGAUCGGCCGAUGGGUGUGCGUGGGUGGCAGCAGAGGGGAACGAGGAGAGGAAGAUGGCGGCGUGAGGGAGGAGAUCGAGAGAGAUCGAGAGGACGAGGGAGUCGGGCUAGCGGGGCUAGGGUUCGGUCGGUAGGGCGCCGGCUGGGCCUUAGAGGCCGGCGGCUGGGCCUGGGAGGUCCAAGAGGCCCAGGCUGUUGGGCUCCUUCUCUCUAUCUCUUUAGCAGAAAAAAAAAUAGAGAGCAUUCAAAAGAAUUAAAAGAAAAGGCCAAGAACAAGAAAAAAUGGUGGGACAUAUUUGUAAGGCUUUACGGAAUAUUUCCAACCCAACAAAAAUGGUUCCAACAAAAUAGGAGAAGUUAAAUCUAAAAUUAUUUAACUUGCACCGAAGGAGUUUGAAUGGAGUCUAGACUUUAGGAGUAGCCAAAAUGUUGAGAUUUUUGGUGGAGCUCCGGAAGAUGAUGAAAGAAUAAAUGGCAAAGUUGGAGAUCAAGAAUUAAGACAACUAAGGCAUUGGGAUUUUGCAAGUGUGUUAUGGUGAAUUCCAAAAAUGGAAUAUUUACUAUAGCUCUCUAAAUAUCGAGAGGAUAUGUUUUAAAGAGAAUCACCAUGUGAAUAUCCCUCGAUUUAAAUGGACCGAAGAUCCAUAUGAUUUUAUUUAGAGAGGUUUUAAAAAUUAAUGAUAUGAUGACAUGAUGCAAUGCAAAAGAUGUCAUGAUGAAUGCACAAACAAAACAAAUCACACGACGAAACUCGGAAUAGCUGGAAGUCUUCUGGAGCGUCGGUCUCGGGGCGUUACAACACUCCACCACUAUGAGAGGAUCUCGUCCCGAGAUCUAGAAUGGCACCGGAGGGAAAACAGAAGAGAAAGAGAAGAGGUAAAACUAAGUUGCUUCUUUGACAAACGAGUGAAUCCAAAGAACCUUGAAAGGUUAAUCCAUUUCGAGAAAAGAAUACAAUGGAGACGACGAAGCUGAAAACACUCCGUUAGAAAAGAGGAACAAGGGAGAACAACUUCGGGCAGCACUCCGAUUGAAAAGAAAAAGAAUUGAAUAAGAACUUGAUAAGAUGAGAAGAUACUUCAUGAAAUCACAAUACACUGCCUCCGGGAGAAAGAAAUAGAAGAUUGAUAAUUGAAAUAAAAGAAUGUUGAAGAAAAUGCCAACUUCUGUCACAAAAGAGUUUGGAAAGCAUCCUUGCAAAGAAGAAUUGAACGGAGUUGUUGGAAAAUCAACAAUGAAAAGCACAAGCUUGUAGUGGGCUUAUGGAAAACAUCUCAAAAUUAUGAGGUGACAACCGGCCACUAACGGAAACAAUUGUUUGCUUGAGAUCAACGAAGAGAUGAAAACUUCUUCCACCAAGAUGAUAAAGAGAUAACUUGGAUCAUUGGCAAGCACCACAAAUAGCAACAUUCCCAAUGGAAGGCUUUUAGGUGAAAUAUGACACAAGAUAACUCCAACAACGAGGUUGAUGGAUUUAAAAAAUAACUCAUUCUUAACAACAUGUGAAUCAUGGAACAUGAACUCAAAUUAUCAAGAAUGACAUAAUACCACCUCCAAAAUAUGGUAGAAAGAAUUGCACUCUGGAUUACCAUAUGAAGAAAGCUUGAGCUCCUUAGAAAUGAAUCUUGAUGAAAACUUUGAGAAGGAAUUAAAUCCUUGAUGAAUCGUCAUGUAGAACCUCCAUGAAGAACUCCGGUAAACAAAAGGAAUGAAAAGAAAGAGAAAUUGAAAACACAAGGUGAAUCCUUGCAAUGAUUUAGAUGGACCUCCGUGAUAAUUAAAGCUUGGAACUCCGGGAAAAAGAGAAGAUGAAACAAAUGAAACCGAGAAUUUUAAGGGCCUCCGGAAUAAAGAAUUAAUCACUUGGAUGAACAAGAAUAAGAAUUAUGUUAUGCUUAUCCUUCACCAAUUAAAUUGACGACAAUCAACAGAUUUGGCAUACUACUUAUUCUCGUAGAAAGGAUUAAAAGAGAUAUAGCGUAAACUUGAGAAGGUCUUCAACGAACCACCGGUAGGAUUGGAACAACAAAUGAAUUGAUAUGAUGAACAAGGAAGAGAGAUCUUGAAAGAACCACCGUAAGAAUUGAAAAUGAUCGAAGUAGGGGUGCAUCACCGGUAAGAAUUAGCAAAUGAACGAAGGUGCUUGAGACAAACUAGAUACAUGAGAACAAAGAGAUCAAGAACUGAUUAGAGGAUAUUCGAUAGAUGCACCGGCAAGAUAGGAGAAUGAUAACUGACGGCUGAGAAUGAAUAAACCUGAAUUGAUGGACUCCGGAUGACAAACUGAGAAGACUCUUGAAUAUCUCCUGAUGGGUGAAAAAAAGAUGCUCACAAUCGAAAACAAUUAUGAGAGGAUGGCAACAAGCUAGCACCAUAAAUCUUGAAGAGAAUAGAGCAAGAUUAAAGAGAAACUCUUCUUCGGUCUUCAAAUGAUGAGAAUGACAACGAGAAACACCACCAAGAAUUAUUGAGGCACACCGGAAGAAUCAAAAGCGAAGAGGUUGAGCCAACUAUGAAAAGAAUUUGAAAGAUCUUGGAGAAAAGCAUUUGACUAAUGAUAACUCAUUCUUACGUCAAACUUGGAGAAGAAUUUAGGAUAGCUCUGGGAAAAUAGAAGAGUCAGGUAAGAUCCUCGGAAAAGACCUGUGGGUUAGGGCCCACUCAAAAGAACACCGUUGAAAAGAUUUAAACGAGAGGCUGCACUGGUUGAAUUAAAUGACUUGAAUGAGAUACCAAUCUCGAAAGAGCUUGAACGAAUGCAGAGUGGAAACACGAAUCUUCGAGAUAUCUUGAGCACUCCGGAACAAUUUAAUAGCGAGAGAUGGAUGAUUAAGAGGUGCACCGGCAUAAGAAAAGCAUUGGAAAAAAAGAAAAGGAGUAUGCUUAAUACCAAAGCUUGAAUUAAAUCCACCGGAGAAGAAAACGAGUGAAGAGUGACGAACUUGAAGCUCCAUUAGAAUCUUCAUGAGAAUCACCGGAUAAGAACAUUGACGGAAAAGAAUGGAGAAACUUCCCAUCAAUAAAAUGGAUACUUGAAGAAGAAAUCUUAGUCCUUGAGGAAAAAGGGUGGGUGGGCGGGAAAAAACAAAGGCAACUUGGAGACGGAUGAAACAAACACUGUUGAGAAGAAAUGAUAAUUGGUCUUGCUGAUGUUGAAGUGACCGGAUCCACUUGAAGAGAAACACGCCGGUUGAAAAGGAUUGACAUGACAAUCUUGAUUGUCGAGAAGGAUUGGUAUUCACAUCGGAGUAUGAGAACACCAUUUCGGAAAGGUAUGGAAUCAACACUUGACAUUGAAGCAACUUGAAUACCAUAGCUCAAAACAAAACAAAGGAUUGGCUUGCAAAAUAAGCCAGAACAAACAUAUGAUAGAGAUUUCGUCCGAAGUUUUCGUGGUGGGGCCUACACGGGCUCGAGUGUACAUCACCAUCAUGUACAAGGCAGUGCACAUGACAUACGAAGCGUCCCCGAGUCGGCAUAGCCAAGGACUCUUUAAGACACAACGAGACCACUGUAAAAUCGACCGUGAAUAGGCGGACCACUAGACGUCGAACCCCAAUUUCAAAUCAUACAUCCGUUGGAAAGAUAUCCUAAGAGCUACUUGAAUUCCCACCUAUGAAACUCCCGAAAUUUUCCGGUUAUGCAAUCAGGUGUUGGGGAUACAGGGGAAGCAUAAUAUCUCACCCAAAACUAACAAAUACUACAUCCAGCUGUAUCCAUCCUUCAACACAUAACCAAGAAACCUUCAGAAAUCGUCUACCUCAACCUUCGAAAAGCAUCCGUUAUACAAGUUAUGGCAAUACUCCCGUACUCACCUCAGUACUGGGUUAUCGGGGUUAUCUCACCAACAACUGCAUAAAAGAGAUUUUCGAUGUCGGCGUACUAAACUCAGGUAUUCCAGAACUGCAACGAUAAAAUUAUGAUGACAACACCUCAGAGCUCAACUCCCCGGGACACUUCCACUAAACCCCUGACAGGAGGCACCAAGACAAUGUUCUCAUCAUAAAACCAUCGGCACGAUUCCAAGAUACCCGCGUGAUCCUAAAAAAAAAUUUAGUGAAAUUUGAGAAGAGAAGAGUCAAAACUCUACGUCAGGAUGCCUUACCAGAGCGAUGAGGAGACGGGGAAGUAAAAAGAAUUCCUAAACUCUCCGAUAUAUAAUUCCUAAAUGACUCAAAACAUUUUUCUAGACACAACUCGGCCGCUAAAAACGAUCAAGCAGUGGGGCUCCUAAGGUCGGGGAAGGCUCUGAUUACCAACUUGUAACGCCCUCGAUGCGGCUAUAUCUCCCACGUGUCGAAGCACGACUUAGAGGCAUAACCGCAUUGAAAGCAAUGUCGCAAGUGAGGUAAUCUUCACACAACCCAUGUAAUACAUAAGGGAAAGAGAUACAUAGUUGGCUUACAAUCGCCACUUCACACAAUUACAUGAAUAAAGCAUUACAUCAUCCAGAUACAAUCAAGGUCCGACUACGGAACCAAAAUAAAAGAAGAACCCCAAAUGCGACAAAGGUCCCCGAUCGACCCCAAUUGGGCUCCACUACUGAACAACUAGAACGGAAACAACACAAAGGACAAGAUCUUCAUCGAGCUCCUCCUUGAGCUUGGUUGCGUCAUCUGCACGGUAACAUAGGCACCUGCAAACUGGUUUUGGAAGUAUCUGUGAGCCACGGGGACUCAGCAAUCUCGCACCCGCGAGAUCAAGACUAUUUAAGCUUAUAGGAAGGAUGGAGUAAUGAGGUGGAGCUGCAGCAAGCGACUAACAUAUAUGGUGGCUACAAUCGCAAAAGAGAGCGAGAAGAGAGGGAAAAGCACGGUCGAUAAAAGUAUGAUCAAGAAGUGAUCCUAUAGCAACCUACGUCAAGCAUAACUCCAACACCGUGUUCACUUCCCGGACUCCGCCGAGAAGAGACCAUCACGGUUACACACGCGGUUGAUGUAUUUUAAAUAAGGUCAACUUCGGGUUUUCUACAACCGGACGUUAACAAAUUCCCAUCUGCCCAUAACCGCGGGCAUGGCUUUCGAAAGAUAAUACCCUGCAGGGGUGUCCCAACUUAGCCCAUGACAAGCUCUCACGGUCAACGGAGGAAUAGACCUCCACCCAAGACACUCCGAUCAGACUCGGUAUCCCGGUACAACAAGACAUUUCGACGGGGUAAAACUAAACCAGCAACACCGCCCGAAUGUGCCGACAAAUCCCGAUAGGAGCUGCACAUAUCUCUUUCUCAGGGCACACUCAGAUGAG
rnacentral:lncRNA from 1 species